rnacentral:lncRNA from 1 species
CAGCAACCACCACCACCACCUUUAAAUUUAAUUUCAAUGACGAGGGCCCAUCUUAAAAUUAAAAGCCUUUUCACCAUUUCAACUACUCUACGAAUUUAAAGGUUUUUUUUUUUUACUUGAAUAUAGAGUUAUAACCUCGUAUUAUGGUUAUAUCUAUUCAUUUCGACCACUCUACUCCUAAAAACACUAAUCUUUUACACCCCGGCUUAAUUUAAACAGUAAUAGGACUGCAAUGCAAUAUUACGAUUAUCAUCACUAUUAUAUUACGGGUUCUGGAGAGUUUAGGGGAACUGUGAGCCGGUGAAGGUUUGGCCAAAGGACCAAUUAGGAGGGACGACAUUGUUAGAGACAAGAGUUCGACCGUCACUGGUGGUGACCUUAAAGGACAGACUUUGUCCAUUAAGGUAAGUGUUGCUCUGCCAGUUUUGGCCCCAGUUCCUCGACAGGGGUUGCCAACCGGUUCUUGAGCCUUUUAUGGAAACCGAUACAACAUCGCCGGCACCUCCUACGUUGGUGAUUAGGACUAGGUUGAAGUAUGAAUGUCCAUUGAUUGUGAAUCUUAUGCCCCCUCUCUUCCUGCACGCUACCCUACAAAAACUCCACACAGUACCAAACUCUUAUAUAAAAAACCAAAGAUGAAAGUUAAUCUAUCUCCUCUCUCCUCAUUAUUAUUAUACAAGUUAAUCCAAUUCAGGUAAAAAGGACAAAAAUAUAAUGAAAAAACUCAUUUAUUAUAUUAUUCCAAAAUUCAUAAUUUUUUUCGGUUCUUUGUCUUUUAAGAGUUCUAGUCGAUUUCUUAGUUUUUCAGUCGACCAAUCAAUUGAAGUUUUAUCUUUUUUGAAAUAAAUAAAUUAUCAUUAUUAUUAUUGUGAUUGGGAACGUCAGUAAAGGGUGAUAAUACCUUCUAUAAGCAACAGGAACAAUCCCGGCUUUGUAAUGGGCGAUUCGUUGGAAAACAGGUUGAGAGAGAUCAAAAUGAUGCAGAGGAGGGUUGCACCAGCCGCCAGCAUUGUUUGGGAGUGCACUAUUUGGUGGGCAGAAGUUGGUGGCAGUGACCACAAUCGAGCCAGGCAGGCACCACCGUGGGUCAUUCACGCACUUUAUCUCGAAACAAGCUCCACAACUCAUGCCAUUAUUGAACAGCGCAGUGCUUAAAGCCGCUGUAUUAGUCCCAUACCCUUGGGUGUAUAGGUUCCCAUAUCCACACGCCCCGCCUUCAAAAUUAUCAAAACAAUUGCUUUACACUUCAAAAUUUACCCCCCCCCCCAAAAAAAAAAAAAAAGAAAAACAUCAUUGACGAAGUUUGAUUAGUGUGAUACAUCCGACAUCCUUACUUUAAUGUGGAGAACUAAACCAAAAUAAAAUUUUAUCAUAUGAUAAAAUCAACAUCAAAAUUUCACGUUUAUAAUUAAGAAAAAAAUCAUAUCUGAAACGUACCCAUUGUGCCAGAGGCAUCACCACCGCCGUAAAAUGUGGCAUGAGCAUCAACCCAUCCCCCACCAUAUCCAUAAGCAUAGGAGAAAAAAUGAAGAAAAACCAUGAAAAGUAGAGGAAAAAGUGCCAUUUUCGUGGUGAAUUUAAGAAAUGAAACUUGAAAGAUUGGGUAUCCUUUAGGCUUUAGGUAGCUUAGGGAGGAAGAAAGGAAGCAGUGGUAUAAAUUAAAGACAAGUGUUGUUUUGAGUAGUGAGGGAAGAAGGAGGAGGUGGGGGGAUAUAUAGAAAGGCGACGAGGGGGAACGUCACACCAUCUUGGCUAAUGAGGUGUGGGGGGUGCAAGCGGUUUCUUCCACCCUGUGGACCCGAACUCAGCUUUCCAUUCAAACCACGUACUUUUCUCUUUUAUUACUCUCGACGGUUGAUGCAUUCGAUUUGGGGGAGAUGGAGUUCAUUAUUAUAAGGUUUUAUAUUUGAUGUUGUCAUAACACCAAAGUUGUUAUUCGGGAUGUUUGACUGUGUAAUAUAAGGUUUUAUAUUUGAUGUUCUCUUUAAUACUUUUUGAAUGAUUCGAUUUUAUCAUAUUGAUAUACGGUGAAAAAGUUAAAGAUAAUACAUUUAAAACAUAAAAAAUUAGUCACAUCAUCCCUUGCUUUUAAUUGAAGUAGAGCCAAUCUCAUACGUAAAAAGACACAUUUAGUAAGUAAAGAUUGCUUAGUGGGAAUGACGACAAGUUAUGUUAUUAAUUUAAAAUUAUUUAUUAUCUUCGUUGCAUUAUUAUUUAAAUUCAAUUUAAAUAAAUUUAUUUAUGGAUUUUUACAAUAAAGGAAGUUAUAAAUAUUAAAAAGGAAAAGGAAUAAAGGCUAAAAUCGGUAGAUGAUAAAAGAGAAAGGAUUGCUGUGUAGAUAAGAAGGGGCAUUGCACUUGGAAUCCCACCCAAUUUAAGAAAGAGAGUAGUGGAAUGAUGUUAUCAGUCUUUAAUAAAGUUUAGUAGACAGAAACCGUCGAUAUGAAUCCGUCUCUAGUUACGUACAUAACCAUUCAAUGUCAUUUUACCCACAUAUAUAUAAAUCAUUUUAAUAUACAAUAAAAUUAUUUUUUUUAAAAAUACAUAAAAUAGAACAAUUUUAGCUUUUGACGACAUGCUUUAAUUCUGGCUUUGAAGAAAACUGAUAAGGUCAAGUUUUAAUUGAAUGCCAACAAAAUCUGUAAAGGAUGAAGCUGACAGGCAGGGGAAAGGGUGAGGCUGCACAUGGGUGGUGCUGGUAUCGGGGAAACUAAAAGGUGGUUACAUCGGGAGGACCAAAAUAACCUCUUUCUCAUUUAUUAUUUUAUAGUCUUCAAAUGCUAACUUACUUCUCAGCUUUCGGGAAUUCUUUUUUAAAUAACUUAAUUUAAUUCAUUAAUUACCAAAAUAUUUAAUUUUACAGUGAUAGUAAGUGUAACCUGACAUACCGGCGACACCAUCCCUCAAUGAAGAUCCAAUUAUCGUCUUUUUAAAUAUAAAUAUAUUUUUAGUGUUGUUAUUGUAUUAGACGAUACUAGUAUGUAUUUUUUAAAAUACUUGUUAAAUAUACAGGUAUUCAGGGAGGAAAACAAUUUAAUGGGUGUUGCUGGUGUGUCAGGCGGCACCAAGGAAAUUUUUGAAACAAAAAUUGGUUUUGUCAAACAGUAAAAAAAUUCAAUUUUUUUUGGUGUUGGCGAUGUGUCAAACGGCACUGAUGGUCCCGUGAAGCUGUUAGGCAACACCAAAAGCCUAUAUAUACAUCAUCUUUGGUGCAAAAUAUGUAUAUGUUGAAGUAAAUGAUUUUUUUCUUAAAUUCUAUUGAAGUGAAAAAGAAAAAAGAGAAACUUUUGUGAUUAAUAGUAGGGGAUAGAACAAAAAAAUAUAUAUCAAUGUUCAGAACAAGGGGUGAUGAAUUUUUUCUUUGUGUUUGUGUUUUAGGGAGAAAUUGUGAUAGUUUUAAGAUAUAUUUAAUUUUACGGUAAUCUGGUGGCGCUUAAACACGAAUAGAUUUCAUAUGCCGUUUGGGGAGUGCAUCAUCACCUUAGAAAGUGGUUAUGUCGCAUUACAACUCGGGUUCCCAGUUGACAGUUAUGUGGUCACUGAUUUAAAUAAAAAUAGGGCUCCCAAUUGAAAGUGGUUAUGCGGUGACAAGUUCAAAUUGAUUAUGUUGUUAAGGGAACCCAGUUUAAUGGCACCAAAAUAGGAUGCUUUAUUAACUACAUAAUAAGUUUGAAAUUAUAAUCAUAGAGAAAAUUUAAACUUUGUUUGUUCUCGAGUCAACUCUAAAGCUUAAGUAAACUCAUAUAAGACUCAGGAAAAGUUUUAAAUGAUAUUACAUGAUGGAAAUGAUAAAAGUUAAUGAAUGGUUUGAUCCGAAUUAGUGGUGUAAUAUGAUGUGAUGAAAUGCAAUAUAAUUGAAUAAAUAUUUAUAAUAUUUAUAGAUGAUGAUGGAUAAAAAUUAAAUUGUGUAUGAAUGGUCAUGGUAAGUUAGUAUGUAUAUAUAUUGAAUGUUGGAACUUAUAUGAAUAUAAGCAUGUUAUAUUGUAUUGGUUAGUGUUAGAAUAUAAAAUUUGAUAAUGAUAUUUAACAUGAGUUGCAAUUGCGAGAGAUUAUGCAUAGCGGGUUAUGAUCCGGAAGGUUGGGAUGAAUUAAUCGACUUGAUUUGGAAUAUAGUAUGCUAACAUGUUAUACUCUUGAACUAGUUUACGGAACUUAUUUAAAUGAACUUAAGUGGAAUAAAUGAUGUACUUAGUAGUAUGUUUUGCAUAGGUGUAAUUAUUGAGUGUUUUUAUUAACUUAUUUGUGUUGAUAUUGAAUUUGUAGAAAUACCACUAAGUUGAUAAUUCAGCAUACGGUUUGUUUUGCAUUAUAGAACGCCUGGAUGAGAGGCGACCUUGCAAUCCUAUUUGUUUAAUUUCACGCCAUUGAUCCACUACCAACGUUGGUACAUGGAGAACGAGUUGCAUUAUUUAUUUAAGGUUUAGGAUUCAAGUUUAGGGUUUAGGACUCUAGUUUGGGGUUUAAGGUUUAAGUUUAAGAUUUGAGCUUGAUGUUUAGUGUUAGGUUUAGGGUUUGGGGUUAGAUUUCAAUAUUUGAGGUUCUGGGUUUGGGGUUUAGGGUAAAAGAUUACCAAUAUUAUGUAUCAAUGACUUGAGAAAAUUAGUGAAAUAUUGUUAAAUAAUUGAAAAAGGACUAUAGAUGAUGUGGUGGGAAGAGGUCAAAAAAUAAUUUCUCCUGUUUCAAAUGCCUUUAUUUGAUAAGAUAAGGAUAAACUUAGCAACUUAGAUAUUUCUACUUCUUCAAGUAAUAAAAGAUGAUGCUGAUGAGUUUAAAGUGUUAGCUUGAAAUGUAUCAAUAUCUGGUUUAUCAAGCUACAGUCAUAGCCCAUAGAUGUCAAACAUACCAACCAAUGAACUUUGUUCUAACAUGCUAUGAAAUAUUAGAGUAGACAAAGUCUCCAACAAUUAUUCUUAGUAUUGUUUCAAGUAGGAUAAAUUGUUUGGUAUUUAGAAUAAUAUACAGUUAAUUAGAGUAAAUUGAUUCGUAAUUGUUUGUUUAUUCUAAUAAUUAGAACAAGUUAGCAUAUUAAAGUGAUCCUUAUGAGAAUGAAUGAUCAAAUUUAAGUGAACUGUUGAAAAAUAUGAAAUGACUCAAAUGAGUCUGAGGAAGUGCUCACUUCUUAAAACAUUAUGACAAACUGGCCUGUCUCCAUAUUUAUGUGAUCGACAAUUUGCUGAACUGGAUUUUUUGGGUCGUGGUGACAUUGUGUAUUGUAUCUAAUCAUUAAUAAAUAUCAUAUCAUUUGAAAACAUGUUUAAAGGAUCGAAUCAUGUCUAUUUAAUUCCGGAGGAAGUUAAAUCAAUUGAAACGAAUGCUAACCAUCCUUGUUUACUUUAUUUAUUACAUUUAUUUUUACGUGAAUGAUUUUAUUAUAUCUUUGUUCAUAACAUGGUGGUCAUAUUAGGUGGACAGGCUGAAAUGGGAGGGUUUGAGAAAAAAAUAUAGAUUUGAAAAAUGGGUUUAAGGAAAAAAAUAAGACUCGUUUAGAAAAUGGGCUGAGUUGGGCCUUGGGUAAGAUAUUUUGGUCAGGGCUCGACCCAACCUAAAUUUUUAAUUAAAAAAUCCUUGUUGUUUUCCCACUUUUUGUCACUAUUUUGCUACCAUUUUACUAUUAUGUUGCUACUAUUUUGUUGUUAAUUUUUGGAUAUUGUAUAACACUUGUUUUAUUGUUAAUUUUGUUACUUUAGAGGCUUUUACUACUUAAAGACUUUUUUUUUAAUUUAUUUUAAAUUUGUUGGGAAACAUGUAUUCUAAUAUUUUUAGUGUUUUUGGUAUAUUAUAUUUUUUAAAAUUUUUAAAUAAAAAAUUAAAUUAAAAAAUUAAUACAUGUAUGGCCAGACCCGAAUUUUAGCAUUUUUAUUUAGAUUGGGUUUGAAAAAAACUAGACCCAUUUUUUUGGGUCGAGCCAGACCUAAACUUAAUAAUCAAGCCUAAAUUUUGUUAAGACUUAAUCUGACCCAGCCUAUAGACAACUCUAAAACUAAAUUUGACAUUAUUUUGAAUGAUUUUCAUUAGUGUGGUUAACAAUUUUACUGACUUACAUUAUUUUAAAAAUACAAAGAGUUAACUAAUAUAAAUUUUAAGUAAAAGAAAAAGUUAUUGCUCACAGGGACCGACUAAAUCUGUUGAAUCACUUGAUAUAUCAAAUUCAACAAUCAAGAGUUAAUUUUAUUAGAAACUAUGAUAUAUCACUCGAUGUAUCGGCAUUUAAUUUUAUUGUUAUUGUUAUUUUUAUAUUAAUAACAAAUAAAUGCGCUAUUUAUUUAAAUCCAUAUUUAAUCUAAAAACUUAUGUGCUUGAAAGUUAUAAAUUGAUUAAAAUAAAUGUGAUAUUUUUCUAUUUUGUUGAUAUCAAUCUGUCCAAAUCGUUAAGUAGACAUCAAACAAUAACCAUUGUAUUUUAACUUUCUACAACAAUAAUUCUAUCUUAUUACUACUAUUAUUUAAAUUCAAAAAAAAAAAAAAUUAGUGUUCCAUUCUACUCAGAGGUUGAAUACAUAGAAUGCAUUAUCAUAUUCCACUCUUCGUUCUAGCCUUUAUUCAUUUAUCGCAAGUAAUUAAGCAUUUAUUUCUUUUAAUGGAAGCCAGACGUGAAUGAGGAAAAUUGAUUAAACAACAUCCUUAAUUUUUGUUUGAUAGCUUAAAUAACUAAAACAAUAUAAAACCAUUAUAUUCAUGAAAAAUAUAUAAUAUAACAUAAAGUAUUAGCACAUUUAUGGUAAAUAAACACUAAAUCCAUAACUUACAAGCACUAAUAACAAAAUUUGACCCAAAUCACUAUCAUUUCCCCCAUUUUCGUUUGAUAUAAAGAAAACAUGAUGAACCAAAAGUCUUUUGUCCCAUUCAUCUUUUACUGGUUUUACUUUUAUCACCACAGAGUGAAGUGAGGCUUCAGCAAACUUUUAUCACUAAUUUAGACCCAGCAAUUCAUCUAUUUUAUUCUAUCAUAAGUGUAUUUGAAAAGAUUCAUGUUUUACUUUAAUAUUUUUUAUUAUAUAGAGCUUUUAUUAACAAAAAUAAAAACAGAGAAUUACGGGAGUUAAGUGAGAUUGUAUGAGUCUCUCUUACUUUAACCAGUAGUUGAGAGUUUGAUCCUCAUUUUAGGUAUGAAAUAACUUUAAAACUCGUGGUCAAGGUCACUGAGCUCGCUCCAAUAAAUACAAAAUUUGAACCCAUGUCAUUUAAAUAUUAGAUGAAAACUCAUGUCAAUAAAAUAAAAUGACUUUACUAUUAAAUAAUAAUUUAAAUGAAUCAAAAUUAUAUAGAAAAAGAAACCAUAUUUAUGGUCUGAAUUCGGAUUAGACCUGAUCACAAAUCAGCAACCAGUGUAACAUGAAUAAGACAGUGCCGUGAGUAAGAAGCCAAAACAUAACAUCCAUUGCUUCUUCCUAUUAGUUGUUAUCAUGAUAUCUUAAGGAUUAUGUUUGAAAGAUGACAUUAAAGAUUUCGCUUUCAAAAGGACCUACACAAUCAGGCCCCAACCUUUCCUCAUUUUGUAAUAUUACACAAUAUGUCCCAUGGGAUGGGGCCUAUACCUAUCAAAAGCCCCCAUCUUGUAACUGGAAUCGACCAGGUGAACACCUUUAGAUGGGCCCAUGGAAAGGUGGGGGGGGGGGGUUCGAAGUAUCUGCAGCUCCUUUUGAUUUUGGUGGUGAAAUAAUGUGAAUCUGUUCCUGUCCCCGACAUGAUGGUGAUGGAAUAAAUGUCUUUUUGCUUUACCAUUUCCAAAUUGCAGCCGUAAACUGAAAUGAAAGAAACCUUGCAUUAACAUGAACCAUCAACUUUUUUUUUAUAUGCAUUUGACAAGAGUUUUAGGACUUACUCUUCUCCUUGGUUUGCUUGUUUUUACAAAAAUAUUAGAUAGGGAUACGAUCAGGGGCAAAACCAAAACAAUUUUUUAGGGUCCGAAUGAAAUUUUAAUUUUUUAUAGUCUAUAUUUUUAUAAUUUUUAAAAGAUUAAAUUGAAUUUUUAUAAUAUUAGGGUAGCUAAAGUAAAAUUUUACCUUUAUUAAUUUAAACUUUUAAAAAAUUUUAGAAAAUCUAAAUGAUAAUUUUUCAUUUUAGGGGGCCAAGGCCAAGGCCAUGCCAACCCUUUAGAAUUGCCUUUGGAUGCGAUUUAGGGUUUAAUUGUUCAUCCAUCAAAUUGAAUUCAUAGAUUAUAUCAAGAUCUUAUAUAUUUGAUUAAGUUGAGCUUGAUAUAUAAACCUCAAAAUUAGUUCACCAAAAUUCAUACAUAAAACUUGGUUACCCUACUCAUAAUUUUCUAAAAACACUUCUUUUAACCAUUGAUAAUUUAUAAUUUUCCUCUUGUCAAGUUCUUAAAGUUCAACUACUCAACAUCUCUUUAAUAUUUAACUAUUAUAUGGUUUAAAUCAUAUAUAGAAUAAUAUGUACAAAUAGAAGUAAAAAUAUUACAUAAAGAUAUUCUUAAAGUAUCUGUUCUUUUCAUAAAAGAAAUAUUAAUUAUAUAAAAUUAUUUUUUUGAGUUCAAAAAUUUUGUCUAGGCUCAAAGAGGUAUAAGGUACACAAAUAAAGAUGGAUUAAAUUGGUUUCGAUAAAGUUAUGAACAGGUAAGCAAGUGAGGUCACAUCAUAGAAUUGGAAUAGGCCAAAUUUAGAAGAUGAUUCAGCAUAUGCACAAGGAUACAAAAGAUUGAGUUUGGUUUAACUCAAUGCGUCAUUAUAUUAGAUUUGUUGGUCAGUGCUCCAUCAUCCACUUGGCAUUUCUUCAAAUUCCUUUUAUCUCAACCUCUACCAUGCAUAUUAUGAUCCAAACUGAGAUUAUCAUAAAUUAUUCUAGAUACAAAAUAGAACCAUAGAUAUCUACUUCAACACUGGAAUAAGAUGUGUUAGAAUUUUGUUGUUGUUGUUGAAAACUGCUCUCUAAUUCAGUAAUCAUAUUUGCACGUUGAUUUCCCUCGUGAUAGAUAUGUAGAAGCGAGGCUUUCUCAAAUUUAGAUAUAGGCAACCUACAAUCGUUUACAUGUGCAACAAGAAAUUUAUUGUUAGUCCAAUCAUUUUUAAUAAAUUUAAUCAUUGUUUCACUGUCAAGCUCAAUCUCUAAAUUAGAAAUAUUCAGUUGUAGUGCUAAGGAAAGUCCAUCUUUGGGUGCCCACAACUUAGUCUCAACACUGGUAGCCGAUGGAAUGUGCCUAUACGACACUUAAUUUCCUUUCUCAUUUCUGAUGAUGGCAUCACCUCCACCUUUUUUGAGGUUUCCCAUUGAUGAUUCACCGGUGUUGAGUUUGAAUAAGCUCACUACUGGUGCACACCACUUGACUUGGACCAUCUUAGGCAAAGAUUUAGAUAGCAACCUACCAAACAAAGCAAAAAAUUCUCUUGUUUUGCUCAUAACUUUAUUAAUUAUGUUAAACUUCCUUUGGUUACUCCUAAAUACUAUAGAAUUUCUCGACAAUCAUAUUUCCUAAAUAAAGAAGCAAAAAAAUAAGAUACUUUUGUAUUCUAUAGACUAUGGUUAACUUGUAAUAGUUUUCAAAUGCAAGAAAUAAAGUAUGAGCAAAAGUGAUAGUAGAAGUGGGCACUUAUGAUGACAUUAUGAUAAUAAAAAAAAAACAUAAGACAACAAAUUUUUUUACACAAUUUGAUUUUCCUACAUUUGUGGAGCAUAGCUUAGUGAGAUGAAUUCAUUAUCCUUGAACUUAAUACAACAAGUAAUCCUAGUUCUAGCACAUCUUAGUGAAGAAUCUUCACUUUUGUACUUUAGCGACUAGACCUCUCACCACUAAAUUUCCCCUUGAGAUCUUACUUUGUAAAACCAAUAACAAAAGGUUUUACAAUCUUAAAUGCACCCUUACAAUAGCGUUCCUCAAUGAAUUGAUAAGUGCUCUAAAAACUACUUAGUACAUAAACCUAUUUAGGUUUAGGGAUGAUUUAAUAAAAAUUAAUUGUUAAUAUUACAUAGAUUAACUCUAAUAGCCUUCCUUCCAUGAUUGGUCUAUUGGUGAGUUUUAAUUUCCGGUACACCUUCACGUUAUUAGGCCUAUAAACUGUUGAAAAAAAUAUGGUUUGAAAACGGUUGUCUUGCAUAACAGAAAAUCAAAAUUUUGAAAAUCAACCCGGUUUGUGAUAUUUAUAGCAAUAAACCCUAGAUCGAAAUCGUACCUACGUUUUCGGAUAGAAGGAUCCUUGUCAUUCCCGGCUUUCAACCAAAUGAUUUACUCCACUAUUCUCGUAACAUGAAUUGCCUCGAGUGUGGGCUCGAUCAAAUCAAAUCAAACACAAAAACUAGAAAUAGUUUUCUUUUCUUUUAGUGUGAAAAAGAAAGUUCUCUUCUCAAAAUAGAAACCUACAGAAUCAUUAUUCAGGAAAAAUAUAUUUAAUAGUUGAGAAGAAAUUCUCUCUAUUUUUCUACAGAGUAAUAAUAUCUUAAAGUUGUGUCUAAAUAGCCUUAUUGGUGCCAUCUAUUUAUAUGAAGAGAAAGUAAAACUCUUGUUGAAUUGUAAAGUUUAUUUUCACUAGAGAAACAACUUCCUACAUAAAGUAGGAGUAGGGUGAACGACAUCCCUUAGUAUUCCUACUAGGGUUGCCGUCUCUCCAUAUUCCAUGUGGGGAUAUUGGAACUCUCUCACGCUGGGUCAAAUUUUGAAUACUUCUUAAACUUUUCCACCCAACACUUUGUAACUUGAUUCAACCAGAUUCUGUUUUUCUAUUUCCCAAUAAACUUCAAUAAUUAUAUUCAAUUAAAUAAUUUUCUCAUCCCAAUUUUACCCCACUAAAAUUAUGAUGAUUUUACCCCUGGUAAAAUUUCUGAGAAAAUAUAUUUAAUAUUUUCCUAUUCAACUUGUUCACUAUAAUCAAAUGAUUUGUUUUCAUUUUCAAACAUUAAAAUAACUCAAAAACAUAAACUUAGUAUUCCGAUCAUUUUUGAGUAAUCUAUGUUCAUUUGUAAAUGAAUCAUUUCUCAUUUUCAUUUCCAUUUCCAUUUUGAGAAAACCAUAUUCAUUUCCAAUUGAUUCUAUUUCUCCAUUUCAAAGAAAUCCAUAAUCAUUUCUGAAUGUUUUUCAUUUCUCUAUUUUACCAUUUAUAUUCAUUUGAUUAAUCAUGCAAUUCAUUUUUGGUUUCAAUGAGCUAGCGAAGGGACCAAUUGAAUAUAUAUAAUUGAGGCUCAAAUUGUUUAUAGUUAAGUUCUAGCUUUUCACCUAUUAAUUAUAAACUCAUUUAGUCGUGAAGUCAUUCCAUUAUAGUAUCGUGACUGAGCUCUCCCCAAUGACAUACCAUUACGAAAGGAACUUGAUUAAUGCUCGUCCAGUGACCUUGUCAUAAGUGUGUUAUCCUCAUAGGAUAUCCUUAAUCUCUUUGGGAUAAUAUUCAUUCUCCCAAUAUGAUAUUAUUUUAUCUCAUAGUAAUCGUUAUAUCUUCCUUCAUGAAAAGUCAAUUACUAUUAAAUAGCGAUCAAGUCAUCCAUCACAAAGACGAAUGACCUAUGACCACGUUUACUUUUUAUCAACCAUGUAAUGCCAAUAAGAGGAUAUCAUUUACCCAUGUUUCGAGCUAUGAAUUUCACUGUUGUGAAUGACACUAUAUACUGUUGAAGUCAUACACCAAACACACCAACUUUCAGUUCCUUAUCUAUUUGAACUCAGGCUUUUAGUUGCAUCAAAGUGUACGAGUCACGCAUGCAUAUUUCGUCAUCCACUCAAGAUUUAGGUAUGUCACACUAUGAAUGUCACAAGUGAAUAAAUCCAUAAACGGAUUCAGGAUCUAUUCUACUUGGGUCUUGUCCGAUGUAUUGUCAUUCUGGUCAGUCACAUUUAUGUCUUUAUCCUCUAGGAGUCAUCCGCUCUGAUGCACAAGACAAAACAUCUCCCCGAUUAGUCUUUUAAUCAGUUUGCUCAUUCCCAAUUAGACUAAGAACAUGUUUAGGUUCACCUACUAAUAUAAGUUAUCUUUCUGUAUUACGAUCCGACCACGUAAUACUACGUAGUAUUAGUUAAACAUUAAACAACCAAUGAGAAACAAUUGCUUCCAUUUUGAUUUACGUGCAAAAAACAUGUGAAGACAAUAUACAAAGUAUUAAUGUAAUUCACGAAUAAUUUUAUUAACCAAUCUUUUUGAAAAAUUACAAGUGUACUUAAACGAAAAUACUACAUAAUUUCCAUUUGAUGUGAGUUGUGACACUGAUAACAAAUUCUUCUUCAUGUCGGGCACAUGAUACACGUUUUAUAAUUUCACCUUGUGUGGACUGUAACGAGGGAUGUGUUGCCUCUGAUGCCCUAAGUGUAGUAUAUUUGUUUUGUAUACUUAUAUUUUUCAAACAAAUUGGUUUAAUAAAAAUAUUCAUUAAUUACAUUAAUACCAUUUUUAUAUUGUCCUCGAUGUUUUUACACGCAAAGCAAAAUGGAAACAAAUAUUGGCUCAUUGGUUGUCUAAUGCUUAACUAAUUGUAACAGCUCGUUUUCAGUGAAAUAGAACAGUGGUUUCGGGACCACAAGCCCGAGUCCGAAAAGGAUUUUUUAAAAUAUUAUUUUAUGGUUUGAAUUAUGAUAGGAAAAUCAUAUUAAAAUUUUGUUAAGAAAAUUUUACCGAUUACAUGUUUAAUUGAUAAAAGGACCAAAUUGCAUAAGUAUCAAAUAGAUAUGGAAUUCAAAGUUUUAGGUCCUUAUAUGGAAAAUGGACCAUUAAGAGAAGUUAGUAGAUAAGGAUGAUGAUUCGUCCAUGGGAAAUUGAAUAAAUAAAAGGACUAAAUUGGAAAUAAAAGAUAUUAAAAAGAUCAUAAUUAAUUAAAAGAUGAAAAUAUCAUCUUUUUCAUCACCUUUCCCAAAUUCAUUCCAUGGAAACCCUAGCUAAGAGAAAAUAAGCGCAAGCAAGCUUUCUUGGUUUAAUUAGGUAAGUAUUCAAGUCCCGUUUUUGGUAAUUUUUAUAUUCCCGAGAUCAUAAUAACCUAAUCUAUCUAUUUUGGGGAUCAAUUUGCAAAGUUAUUGAGGUGUUAAAGUUUUUCCAUGGAUGAAUGUAGAUGAAUUAUGAAGUUUUAUGGUAGAAAAUGAAAGGUUGUUGAUAGAUAAACAACUUUUGUUAAAAGAAUUUUGAUAAAAACAUGUUUAGGGACUAAAUUGAAACAAUGUAAAAUCAUGAAAAAAAUUAUAAUUUUUGUGAAAUACAUGGACGGAUGUUAAUACAUGUAAAAUUUGGCUAGGCUUGGAAUAAGGAUUAAAUUGCAUGAAUUUUAUUUUCCGAGUCUAGGGACGAAAUUGUCAUUAAUUAAAAGUAUAAGGGCAAAAUGAUAAUUUUGCCUAAGAUGUGACAUGGAUUGAAUUGAAUGCAAAUUGUAUUAAAUUGAUGUUAAAUUUACUCAUAUAGAUCAGGAUAGAUCAAAAAUGGUGUUAGAUCGUGGAAAAGAAAAAGUAUCGGAUUAGUAGUUUGCAAGUCACGAACAAUUGUCGAGGUAAGUUCGUAUAACUUAAUUGUGUAAUUAUAUGUUCGAAUUGAUUUGAAUGAUUUGUAUGUGAAUUGUGUAUUGACCAUGUAUAUGAAAUCUGAUCACAUACCCGAAAAAUACUCGAUAAAUGUUAAAUUCCGUUUGAAUGAAUGAAAUUCGAUUGGAUACAGGGUUCUGUUUCCUGAAAUUGUAGUGUUCUUACAUAUGUUGUGGACGUACCGUAGCUCAAAAGAACGUCCCGUUACAAGCCCUCUCAAGCUUCCCGUUAUAGUGUUCUUGUGAGCUUCCCGUUAAAUGCUCUUCGGAGUAUCCCGAUCGGUUGUGACCCUACAUGUAUUGUGGGCACACCGUAGCUUUUAUGAGUGUCCCAUUAUGACUCUUUGUGAGCUUUCCGAUUAAAGGCUCUUUGUGAGCUUCCCGUUAGUGCUCGUUUGAACUUCCCGUUAUAUGGCUAUCCGGUGCUUCCUGAUUAAAUGCUCUUCAGAGCUACCUGUUAAUUGCUCUUUGAAACUACCCGUUAUAUUAUCCGGAUAAGUUUUCCGUUACAAGGCUCAAUGAGAUUCCCGUUAUAGUGCUUGAGAGAGAGCUUUUUGUUUAAGUGCUCAUAAAAGCACUCCCAAAUAUGAAUUGACAGAUUUAUAGUAUUGUACACUUCAGGUGUACUACCCAAGUAUUCAUCGAGAUUUCAAAUGAUUCAAUGGGUGAAAUUUUGACAUGAGAACAUGUGAAAUCAAAAUGAAACUAUUAUGUGUAUAUGCAUGAAAUACUUGGAAACUUGAUACCUGAUAAGCUCAUCCUUGUUCUUGUUAUUCAUAUGAAAUGCAUGACUAAUAUGUUUGUUGAUGUUAUGUGUUAGGCAAAUGGCCAAAUUGCUUUGGAUGCAUUUUGUAUACUUUCUUUAUGUAUAAAUGUAUGGUAAGUUAAUUUCCGUUAUACGAACUUACUAAGCACUAAGUGUUUACUCAGUUGUAUUUCCUUUGUUUUAUAGUAUUCGGAAGCUCGUAAGGGUUGGAAGCUUGGCAGAGAUCACUCACACUAUCCACCGGCCCAUUUUCGGUACAAAUAUGAAACUAAUUUUGAUUAGAAUAGUUGAUCGAACUAUUCUUUACCAUUGCUUGAGCAUGUUAUUCUCGUGGCUCCUCAAUCUAUGAUAUUGUAAUUUGUUUUCCAACAUCAUCUACUAUUACACAUAAGGCUUGAAAAUCCCACUCUUCAUCACUAUCAUCUUUUUUAAGAGUAGCGACACUUUCAUUGUUGGAAGUUGCGAUGUUUCCUUAAACUUUUCUUAUCCUACAAUCUCAAGCAAAGUGUUAGGACUUACCGUAAUUAUAACAAUUACCUUACCUCCUGCGGGUAUUUUUAUUCUUUCGAUUAUCUUGCUUUGACUAGUUCUCUCUACAUUUGUCUUUUCAUCUAUUUUGCUAUAUUUGUUUAUGACCUUGAGAUACUUGUACUUUCCUCAAUUACUUUGUUGACUUUGUUCUCAAACAUCUCGUCUUUUACUAAACACGCUUUUCCUCAUUUUUAAUCAAAACUUUAGACAUUUGAUUAUCUAAAGCCAGUAUGAUUUCCUACUUGGUAAUCAUCAACUCUUUAGACUAACCUCUAAUAGCCGUUACAAGACCAUUAUACUUUGGAUUUAAGCUAUGAAUUAUUAUUCUUCGUAAUCUGGCCUCAUUAGGCAUUUCAUCCAGAGCCAAUUUUGCAAUUCCACUACUAAUAAACUAACUUUGGUAAAGUACUGACUUAUCGACAUGCUUCCUUGGUUCAAAGUCAUUCGUUGGCAGAGUGUCCCACAUUUCAUUUGGUGUCUCGACAUCCUGUAUGUGCUACAAAUAUUCAUCAUCUAUUGCAAAGAUUAGACUGAACGUCGUCUUCGCAGACUUAACCUCCCACUUCUCCAUGUCAUUAGCUUCAGUUGAUGCUUUAACCUCAUUCCCACCAACUACACUCCACAACUCUUUCCUUUUCAGAUAAAACUUCAUCUAAAGUGUAACACCCCCUAACCCCAAACCGUCGUCGAAACAGGGUUACGAGGCAUUACCGGACAUACCAAGCAAUUUAAAAGUAAUUCUUAAAUAAAUAACCAACCUAUUAAAAUAAUUCAUAAAUUGUUAUAAAUUUUACUAAUUGAUUUCAUUCAUUUUUAGAAAAAUUUCGGCAGCAUUUCUACUUAUUUUUACAUCAAACCCCCUGCAAUUUAAAACCAUAUCAUUUUUAAAUAUAACCAAUCAACCAAUUCAUUUCACAUUCACAUUUUCUAUUCUAAAUAUUUCUAAUCAAACUCAAUCAACAUAAUAUCAAUUUAAAAUUUAACAAGGUAAUAAAUAAAUCAAAAUAGAUAAACUUCGUUCAUAAUAAUUCAUAAACUUUUAAUACUAACAUUUUUUUAACCAUUUAUAUUAAAACAUAACAACCUUUAUACACAUCCUAUGUACAUGCCACAUUACCCAAAGGAAAAUAUACAUCACCAAAGUUAUGCUGAAGUCGCGAUUAAUCUGGAUGCUGAACCGGGACCUUUGACUUCUAUCGACCUGCGCACGGAAACAACCGUACGCUGAGUAUUUCAUACUCAGUGGUAUUACCAUAAUUCAAAUUAUAACAAUAUUUAAACAUGUAAUGCAUAAUUCGUAUAUACAAUUUAAAUUCAAUAUCUCAACAAUAGCAAUUCAUCAACCAAUAUCAUAUAUCCACAAUUUGAGUUUGAACAAAUCAUGAACCUUAGGUUCAUUUCUCAAUCUCAUUUCACAUUUCAAUUCACAAUUCAACUUUUUCAUUUCAUUUCAAUAGCUCGUUUGACCAAUUCGUUCGGUCUAUCAUUUCAUCAUUUACCCUAUUAACAAGACUCGGACUUUGGCGGAUACACGGAUCCAACCAAACACACCAUAAUGGCACCCAGUGCCUCAUCGGAUAGUUCGAAGCAAUAAUUGACACCCAGUGUCUCAUCGGCAAAGCCGAAGAAAGUUGGUACCCAGUACCUCAUCGAAUCUAUCCGAAGAAAUAUAGUGACACCCAGUGUCUCAUCGACUCGAGGUCGAAGUAUCCCUGAACUCUUCCAAUCCUAUGGCAUGCCAACUAUAUCCGACUCAGCCCGACUAGUUAAUAGGGUAUUUAAAUCACAUAUAAUCUCAAUUCAAUCACAAUUUCUCACANNNNNNNNNNNNNNNNNNNNNNNNNNNNNNNNNNNNNNNNNNNNNNNNNNNNNNNNNNNNNNNNNNNNNNNNNNNNNNNNNNNNNNNNNNNNNNNNNNNNNNNNNNNNNNNNNNNNNNNNNNNNNNNNNNNNNNNNNNNNNNNNNNNNNNNNNNNNNNNNNNNNNNNNNNNNNNNNNNNNNNNNNNNNNNNNNNNNNNNNNNNNNNNNNNNNNNNNNNNNNNNNNNNNNNNNNNNNNNNNNNNNNNNNNNNNNNNNNNNNNNNNNNNNNNNNNNNNNNNNNNNNNNNNNNNNNNNNNNNNNNNNNNNNNNNNNNNNNNNNNNNNNNNNNNNNNNNNNNNNNNNNNNNNNNNNNNNNNNNNNNNNNNNNNNNNNNNNNNNNNNNNNNNNNNNNNNNNNNNNNNNNNNNNNNNNNNNNNNNNNNNNNNNNNNNNNNNNNNNNNNNNNNNNNNNNNNNNNNNNNNNNNNNNNNNNNNNNNNNNNNNNNNNNNNNNNNNNNNNNNNNNNNNNNNNNNNNNNNNNNNNNNNNNNNNNNNNNNNNNNNNNNNNNNNNNNNNNNNNNNNNNNNNNNNNNNNNNNNNNNNNNNNNNNNNNNNNNNNNNNNNNNNNNNNNNNNNNNNNNNNNNNNNNNNNNNNAUAAAAUUUAUAGUUUCUUUUACAAUUUAAUCCCCUUAUCAAUUCCAAUCAAAAUUUCUAUCAAAUAAACCCUCAAUUCCAUCAUUUAUUCAACAUAAACCCUAUUCAAAAAUCUAUUAACUUUCUAAAUAUCAAUUUAAUUCCAUCAAAACUUUGUUUUAAAACUUCUAAAACAUUAGAAUUAAGAGAAAAGGGCUAAAUUGACUUACCAAAUUAAAUUUCAAGCCUCAAAAACCCUAUUUUCCUUAUUUUCUUCUUUCUUUCUUUCUCCCCUGUUUCUUCUCUGUUUCGUCACUUUCUGUUUCUUUCUUUCUUUUGCUUUGUAAUAUCUAUUUAAUAUCAAUAUUCAUUUUACAUUUGGUCACACUUAUAUUUUUACAUUUGUGCCAAUAGUUUUAUUACAAUUGUCAUUAUUUAAUUUGUUUACCAAAUAAAAAUCUCAUGAUAUAAUUAAUUAAUUAAUUAAUAUCUUUUACUUAAAUUUUAAGUAAAUAAUAAUUAUAAUACAAGUGUAUAUAUAUUAUUACACUUGUACCAUCCUAUCACUACACUUUUGUCUUAAUUUUAACUUAUUCCAUAAUAAAAUAAUAUAAUUAAUAUAAAUUACCAUUUAAAUAAAUAAUUAUAAUAAUUAUAAUAAUUAUAUACAUAUAAUACUUAUAUAUAUCUUAAUUAAAAUCUUAGAUUUUAAGCGUUUAUGCAGCCUCAUUUCAUAUAAAUGGCUUAAUUGCCAUUUUAGCCCUUUUCACUUUCUUUUAAUAUAUAAUUAGACUUUCACUCUUUAUUCAAUUUAAUCCUUUUUACUAAUUACUCAUAAUUAAACUAAAUUCACCUAUCCAAAACCUACUUAAACACACAACUAGCCUCGUAAAUAUUUCUAAUAAUUAUUUCUGAACUCAAAUUACUAAGACGGAGGCCCGAUAUUAUACUUUUCCGAUGCCCGCGAAUUUUGGGUCAUUACAUAAAGGCUCCACAUGUUGCAAUUGCUCUCGUUGAUCUUCUAAAUUGUGUUAGCUUGCGCACCAAAAUAUGUCAUUAAGGAUUUAUUAACUCUUGUGCUACCUUAGCUAUGUUUAGUCCCAAACCAUAAAUUAAUUCCAGCCCUGAACUGUAAAAUUAGUAGCACGUCCUCUUAUGAGUGAUCCUUGAUUAAGCUAGCUCAUGUUUGUAAUGGUCCCAAUCGCUAUUUAACUAGCUCCGAGAUCACUUAUUGCAGCAAUUGAAGGAGCAAUAACACUAAAGGAGACUUAAGAAAGCAUAUACUCGACUUUGAUUGCUUUCUAACUCACAUAUACAUAUGAAGAAAUUCAUAACCUAUUUAUAAGCUUACGAUCAGAUAAGAAUAAUGAUUGAUGAAGAAAGAUCCAUCGAGAGAGAAGUCAAUGACUUUAACACAUUGUUGUUGUGUCCAUAAUUUUUUUUAAAUUUCUUUUAUAGUUAUUUCACUGUUUUUUCUAUUUGUAAAUUUUAAAAUUUUUAAAAUUUUUCGGAUAAUGACAUCAUUAUAACGUUAUGAUCUGAUAAGUGGUGAAUAAUGAGGGACUGGAAGUUGCAAUCAACAGUUUUUACACCGAUGGAUGAAGGAUAGAAAACAUUAUGUCUUAAACAUAAAAAAGGAAAACUUUAAAGGCCAAAAUAGAAAUAAACGUAAUAUCUUACAAAUCUUGAGCAAAUCUUUAAACCCGAUUAUCCAACCCAAGGCUCCAACUUGAAACAAACAACCUGAUUUGUUCCUGCACCUUUCUGGGCCGAAGAGCUCAAACCAAUGCGCAAAAUAUAUGGGCUGCAUUAUGUACAUUAGCCCAUCAGUCGUCAAACAUAACCCUUAACCUUCUCUUCUCACCUCUCUAUAAAUAACCCACAUAAACCUUCAAAAUAAACCCUAAGUUCUUUGCCUUGUACGACAUCCUACUCUACCACUUUCUCUCCCUGCGUUUCUUACAAAAUCCUAACCUCCAUUUCUUUUUAUCUUUUUUUAUGCUUUUCUCUGUUUGCCUAUGAUGGUAUUAAAUAUACUUUGAGAGAUUCUUUUUUCUCAUUGAAAAAAAUCAAAUCUGAGGCAAAAAAAAAAAAGAGAGAGGAUGCUUUUUAAUUCUUGACAUUACAUUGUGAUUUGUUGUUUAGUUUUGAUUAUCAUAAAAAGGGGGGGGGGGUUAUCUCUUUAUAUAUACUGUAUACAUAUGGAAGUGAUAGGCAGAUGAUGAUAAGAAUAGACAGGGACAUCUGCACUCCCUUCUGUGGGUGAUUGCUGACUUAGUCUUAAAUGGGAAUCUCUCUGAUGCUUUAUCUUAUUUCUUUUCAGUUACCCUGCUCUUUUUGCUAGUUUUGUUCACUAAAGUUUAAACUUGCUUUGUUUCAUAGUUACGAAGAUGGGUUUUGAUAUGUAUAAAAUCUAAAAAUGGUUUCACAUCGAUUUGUUUUGAAUUGGAGUAUAAAUUUUGGUAAGAGCUCACACUGUUCCGCUUUUUAUAUAUUUUUUUAACUUAUAUAUUUGUAUUUUUUUGGGAAAAAAUUAUCACACCAACACCCAAAAUAUUUAUAUUUAUAAAAAUAUAUGGGAGUGAUAAAAUUGUUUUAUAUGGUAUGAAAUAUUACUUAUUAUCUAAAGUAAAGAGUAUUUAAUAAUUUUAUUGCUGCGUGAGCAUUGAAUAAAUUAUAUAUUUGUACGUAAUAAAAUUAUUUAAUUUUUCACUAAUACGUUAUCUUUUAAGAAAGGAAAGAGGAUUACUUAAAAGGAAAGGUUAUGAUUCGAAAAUGAAUUUGGCUUCAUCCAAUAUUAUAUUUAACUUGAUCUCAAAUCAAAAUCUAAAAGCCUAAACUCAUUCAUCACCUAAGAAGACCUAAUGAAUUAUCUUUACAACAUUAACAUAACUCUGCGCCGGCACCUCUACUCUCAAACUCUCGUUUCUCUUUUUUAUUUGGGUAAAUUAUAUCAUAUGUCAAAUUAAAAUAAUAUUGUUUCUAUUUUGGCCAUUUUAAAUUUUUAUUAUUACUCUAUUUAAGAUAAUUAUUUGAAUUGGCCAAUAUUAUAAAAAAAUUCUUUAGUCCAUUAAUGUGUUAUUAAUGUGGCAUUGUUUGACUUUUGACUAAAGUUUAAGGGCUCUUUUAUAAUUAAUUCAAAGCAUUUUGUUUGGUUUAUUUGCAACAUUAGAACCACCAAUCUUUCUCACCACUUAUCCUCAAUGCACCAUCUUUAUUGCUCCUCACUCAUAGGAAUAAUGUUUCAUCACAAGGGUGUACAAAAAGCAUUGGUUGCAUUUUGACCAUCGUACAAAUUACAAUCGGACAAACUUUAGGCCGGUUACUACUGGUAAGUUGUAGGUGAAGUUGGACUAAAAAACACGAGUCGUCAUGUAAAGAACUUAGGGUGUUGUUGGAUCUUGCCUAGCAGUUGAGGAGGUGACAAAUUUUUCAGUUCCGGUGUGUUUAAAUGAUCAAUCUCAUAUAUUGCAAAAAUGACAGUAUGUUUACAUUUUAUAGACUAUGUUUAACAAACUAACUAACUUGUAUAUAACUGAUUUUGCUAACAACUAAUUCUGCUAACUACUAACUGUCUUAACACUCCCUCUCAAGUUGAGGGUUGAUAUAUAUCUAUAACCCCUAACUUGGACACUAAGUACUCAUGUUGCUUGAUGCUUAAAGCUUUUGUCAUCAAAUCAGCAAGUUGCUCAGCUGUCCCAAUAUGUUGCAUUUGAAUUGUUCCAUCCUUGACUUUAUCUCGUACAAAAUGACAAUCUAUUUCUAUGUGCUUCGUCCGUUCAUGAAAAACAGGAUUAGCAGCAAUUUGCAACACUGCCUUACUGUCUGAAAAAAUCAAGGUUUUCUCAAAUUUACUAGGACUUACUUCCUUUAAUAAACCAUUCAGCCAUACAACCUCUGCUACAACCACUGCCAUACUUCUAUAUUCAGCUUCUGCUGAUGAUCAAGAAACUGUAGUUUGCUUUUUUGACUUCCACGAAACAAGUGAUUCUCCAAUUUUAACACAAAAACCAGUCACUGACCUCCUAGACAUGGGACACGAAGCCCAAUCAGAAUCACAAAAGGCAACCAAUUGUGAUUUGCUUGCUGAAGAUAGUAAAAUACCUUGCCCAGGAUUUUUCCUUAUGUAUCGUAACACCCGAAAAGCAGCUUCUAAAUGUGAUUUUUUUGGUCUGUGCAUAAACAGACUCAAAUAUUGAACCGCAAACAUUAUGUCUGGUCGUGUAUUUGUCAGAUAUAAUAAUCUUCCCAACAGCCUUUGAUACAUCGUAACAUCCGUGACUAAAUCAUCCCCAUCAACCUUUGUUUGUACAUACUCAUCAUAUUCAAUUGACGUAAGUUUCUGAUUCUGCUCAAGCGGUGUACACACUGACUUUGCAUCCCCUAAUCCUAAAUCAGCUAUCAACUCCAAGGCAUAUUUUCACUGAUUCAAUAUAAUUCCUUUGUUUGAUCUCAUCACUUCUAUUCCAAGAAAAUACUUCAACACACCUAAAUCUUUCAUCUUAAAAUUUUGAUGCAGAAGCAAUUUUAACUCAUUUAUCAUACUAACACUACUGCCUGUAAUUAAGAAAUCAUCAACAUAAAUGAGCAAAACAAACAUGUUACCUCCAUCCCUUUUCGUAAACAAGGAAUAAUCAUGUCUGCUCUGUACAUAUCCUCCUCGUAUUAAGGCCUCGGUUAGCUUCAAAUUCCACUGUCGAGAAGCUUGCUUCAAACCAUAUAAUGACUUACGCAGACGACAUACACGAGACUCCCCCUGGCUGAGAAAAUCAACCGGAAGCUCCAUAUAAACUUCUUCAGAUAAGUCCCCUUGAAGAAAAGCAUUGUAAACGUCCAUCUGAAAAAUGGGCCCAUCAUGAAUAGCUGACAUGCUGAUCACAGUCCUAACCGUGACAUGCUUAACCACCGGAGAGAAAGUAUCAUGAAAAUCAAUCCCCGCCUUUUGAUUAUACCCUUUACCAACAAGGCAGGCCUUAAAACGCUCCACCGAGCCAUCAGAAUUGUAUUAAAUUUGUAAACCCAUUUGCAACCAAUGGGAAUAACACCAGCAGGCAACAGAACCACCUCCCAUGUACCGUUAGCCUCCAAGGUUUGGAUUUCUUAUUGCAUGUAUCAACCCACCGGGAAUCCAAGAUGGCCUCAUCAUAAGUGUGGGGUUCAAUUAAAGAAGAAACAUUGGCAGCAAACAAUUGAGUGUGAUUAGGCAAAUGAGAAGAAGAGUAAACACUAGCAAUAGGAAACAAACUUGUGGCAUAAGAAGUGAACGAUUGAUUGGGGCAGACGUAAUACUUCAUCCAAGUAGGCAGCUUAACAGACCUUGUAGUACGUCGUAAAAGGGAUAUCAGAAGGUACAGGAGCCAUAGGAGAAGAAGAUUCGGGUUCACAAGGUAAAAAAAGGGAAAUAGGUAUAGAAGAGAAAUGUUCAAGUUGAAGGAAAACAGAAGUGUCAGCAUCAGGAAAAGAUAAGAAUGGUUUAGUAGGAAAUGUGAAAGGAAAUACCGUUUCAUGAAAGACAACAUCUCGGUUCACAAAAAAAGUUUUGGUUUCAAGACUGAACAAUAAGUAUCCCUUUUGUACAAGAGAAUAACCCAUAAACACAGACGGAAUAACCUUAGAUGAAAAUUUAUCAUGAUAGCUAGGAGUAGUAGCAUAAGCAAGACACCCAAACACUUUCAGUCGAGAAAAAUCAGGAGCCUUAUGAUACAAAAGUUCAAAAGGACAUUUCCAUUUCAAGAGAGGAGUUGGAAGACGAAUAAUCAAAAAACAGGCAGUUAAAACACAUUCGCCCCAAAAUUUACUCGGCAUGUGCGACUGAAAUUUUAAAGAUCGAGCUAUUUUAAGUAAAUGUCUGUGUUUUCGUUCAGCAACUCCGUUUUGCUGCGGAGUGUGAACACAGGAACUCUGAUGAACCACUCCGGACAUAGUAAAAAAUUCAGUACAUUCAUUAUUAAAAAACUCAGACCCAUUAUCACUACGAACAGUUUUAAUCGUAGUAGAAAAUUGAUUUUUAACAAAACUAAAAAAUUGUUUGAGACAUAUAAACGCAUCACUUUUAUUUCGUAACAAGUACACCCAAGUCAUACGUGUGUAAUCAUCAACAAUUGUUAAAAAAAACCUAUGACCACUAUGAGUAGAGACUCUAUAAGGUCCCCACAAAUCUAUGUGAAUAAGGGAAAAAGCAACAGUAACACGAGAAUGAUGAAUAGGAAAUGGAAGUCUAGUUUGUUUAGCCAGUGGACAAACAGAGCACUUAUGAAUACUGUCAACAUUUUUCAUUGUACAAGAAAAAUGAGGAACCUUAUUGAGUCUUAAAACAGAUGCAUGACCAAGUCUAUUGUGCCAAAGAAGAGAUGAGUCUGUAGAAGCAACAGCAACAACAGAGGAAGGUAAAAUUGCAGAAGUCUGUUGAGACGGAUCCAGGAUGUAAAGACCACCUCGUACUUUACCAAUCCCCCUCAUAUUUCCACUGGAGCGAUCCUGUAUGAGACAGAAAUGGGGAUAGAAUGAAACCAGACAAUGAAGAUCAUUGGUAAGUUUGGAAACAGAAAGUAAAUUAUAGCGAAAAUUGGGAACAUAAAGAACUCUUGUUAAUGAAAGGUUAGGCAAAACUGUGCAAUUUCCAAUAUGAGUAACCGAGACUGAAGAACCAUCUGGAAGUUGAACACUCGGUGAUUCUAAUGCACAUGCAACAAGGGAUUCCAAGAGAUGAAGGCCCGACAAUAUAUGAUCAGUAGCCCCGGUAUCAAUGAUCCAUUUGUUACCAAUAUCCACCAUACUUGCUAUACUGGUAGCAGCUUCAAUCACAGCAGGUUCCUUGUUUAGCAAAUGUAGAAUCUCAUUAUACUAUUCUUGUGUAAACACUGGCGCUUGUGAACGAGACCCACAGGUGUAACACCCCUUACCCGUAGUCAACACCGAAAUAGGGUAUGAGGCAUUACCAGAACCCAUACGCUUGUAAACGUAUUUAACCGAGUUAUAAAUUUCAUCUCAAUUAAAAUUUUCAAAAUUAUUAACAUGCUUUUAUAAUUUUUCAUAAUAUAUCUUCAAAAUAUUAUGAUCAUAAUAAUUAGGGCCUACGAAACCCGAUACAUACUAUGCAAUUUAAUGCUUCAUUUCCAUUUCAUUAUUUCGAUAUUUCAUGUACCAUCAUUUUCAUGAAUUUUGUACGUACCAGUCAUAGUUCAUUUCAAAUUCAUGUUAUCUCACUUCAAAACUUUACCCAUUAUAUCAUUUAAAUAUCAAUGGUUACAUUUAUUUUAGAUCAAUACCAAUAAUAAUUCAAUUCCAUAUUUUCUAAUACCCUUAUUAUUUUCCAUAUUUAUCCCGUUGAAUUUCUCAAAAAUUCGAUGGAUUUUCAGAGGUACACUUUUAGUGUACAAUUCCGGGUCCGUCAAUUCAUAUUCAUGUGCGCACAUUUCCAUUUCAAAGAGCACACUCCCGCGAACCUCAUCCUUACAGCGGGAUUACCAGUCCAGGCUAAAUCCCCUGCAAGAUAGCACACUCCCGCGAACCUCAUCCUUACAGCGGGAUUACCAGUCCAGGCUAAAUCCCCUGUAAUAUAAACUCAUAGAGUAUUGUCGGGAUUACCAGUCCAGGCUAAAUCCCCUGCAAUGACAAUUACUCUAAUGAGCUUGGAUCUGAAUUACCAGUCCAGGCUAAAUUCAGACCCUAAUUCGGAUUACCCGUCCGGGCUAAAUCAAUUUUCCACAUAUUAUUCGGGAGGGCUAUAUCAAGAUCACCCGUCCAGGCUAGAUCUUUUUCACACAUAUUCUUCGGGAGGGAUAUAUCAGGAUAGGAUCACUCGUCCGGGCUAGAUCCUUUUUACCGUCAAUUCCUUUUCAGAGAUCCAUCGAAUUUUCCUUUCAUUCAACCGAGAUUUAUUUUCUCUUUUCAUCCAGAAUAUCAAUACUUCAUCAGUUAUCAUACAAUAAACAUCCAAAUCAUAUUCACAUCAAUAACAAACAUUUCAAGCAUUUAGGAAUAUAAUUCAAGUCACACGAACUUACCAGGCUAAAUUGUAAAAAUACUAAAAUACAAGAGCAUUUUGGUAAUUUUCCAUUUUCUUAAUUUUCUACCCGAUCUUGAUCUAAAUUAAUUUUUCAUUUUAAUAAAACAACUCAUUUCAUGCAAUUUGAUCAUUUUUGACAUUUUUCCAAAAUUGCCCCUAAAGUUUUACUUUUAUUCAAUUUAGUCCUCGAACCCAAAUCAUAUAAAUUAACCAUUUGUAAUGCAAAUCCAUAAUAUUCAUACAUUUAUUUUCCUCCUCCUCCUCUCCAUUCCACAUCCUUAAUUUAUAUAACAUGCUUAUAAGUAAUAUUGUCUAUAAUUUUCACUAUUUUCUUGUAAAUUUAAUCAAAGUUGUCCAUUUGAGUCAUAGUCACUAAAUUAUUUUUAUCUUGAGCUACAGAAAUCCAAAUUAAGAUCCGUUAAUUUUCUCUAAAACUAGACUCACAUAUAUUCUUGCCAUAAAAUUUUCAGAAUUUUUGGUUCAGCCAAAUGGUACAGUUUAUUCUUUAAAAUUUCCCCUAUUUCACUGUCUGACAGUUCCGACCACUCUUCACUAAAAAAGAAUUAUCUAAUUGUACAGAAUUCGGAUGAUGUUUCCGUUUGUUUUAUUUGAAAAUAUACUCAUCAAAUAUUCUAAAAAUAUAAAUUUUAUCCCAUAAUUAUUUUUUUACAAUUUUUAAUGAUUUUCCAAAGUCAAAACAGGGGAACUCGAAAUCAUUCUGACCUUAUCUCACAUAACCUAUUAUAUCUCAUAAUUUAUAAUUUCAUUGCUUACACUGUUUCUUCUAUGUGAAACUACACUCAAUAAGAUUUAAUUUCAUAUUUUAUUCAUCCUAUAAUUUGAUUUCCACAAUUUAUGGUGAUUUUUCAAAUUUAACCUACUGCUGCUGUCCAAAACUGCUUUAGUGCAGAAUAUUGAUUACUAAGUCUAUAACACUCUUAUUUUCUUUUUUUACACUAUUUCUCAACACUUUCUCUUAUUUUCUCUUCACUAACAUAUCAAGAACAUAUAACUUUAUAUAAUAAAACCCUACAUUAACAUCAAUCUCACACUUUUUCAAUAAUAUCAAACUCAAAAAUAUAUUGAAAUCAUGAUGUUCUUACCUUGCUCAAUUGACUUCAAUCUUUAACUUGAUUUUCUCUCUCCUCCAGCCUCUAUUUCUUGAAUCUAACUUGAUAUUCUAGCUCCCCAUAGUCUUUUUGUCAAUUUUCUCUCUUGGUGGCAAUGAAAAUUUCUUUGAUUUCUAAGUAAAAAUGGUGGAUUUUUGGUGAAAGGACCAAAUUGUAAAGAAAGCAAAGCUUUCUUUCUUCCCCUCUUCUUCUCACGCUAAUGCAUGCAAAAAUGGUGGGGAUGGCUACUUUUCAUCCUUCCUUCCACAUAUAUAUAUACUAAAUAAAUUAAUAAUAAAAUAAUAUCAUUUAAAAAAAUCAAAUUAAAAUAUUAAUAAACUAAUAUUUAUUUAUUUAUUAAUCUAAAAUAUCUUCAACAUCAUCAUUAUCUUCUAGAUUUCUCUCUCUUCUAAUUGACCAUUUUGCCCUUUAUGAUCUUUUAAAAUUCCAUCCUUGAGUCAUCACUUAAUUUGGUAAAAUUGUGAUUUAGUCCCUCAAACUUCUUCACCUUUUUUCAAAUUGGUCCUAAUCCAUCCAUUUUUCUUAGUUUCUAGAUUAUUCCACCCUUAAAAUAUUUACACAAUUGGUCCUUCAACUUUUUCAUAUUUACACUUUAACCCCUCAACUUUUAAGUAUUUACUCUUGGGUAACAAAACUUUUCUCAGUUUUGCGAUUUAAUACUUUCUUGAAUUAAUAUGUUAUAAUUUACUUCCCAAUAUUGCCAUAACUCAAAAUUACCCCUUUUUAGCACUUUAUUUCCUUAUUUUACUAUAUUAGAGAUAUUAUCUUACUUUCCUUACUGUAGAAAUUUUCGGGGUAUUACAACAGGAAUCCAUGACUUCAUUGCUACAAGCAGAAUCAAGAGCAGAAACACUAUUUACUGCAGAGGCAGAGUUACUGUUCACCUUCUUUUUUGUAAACUUAAAAUCUGCAGGAUAACCGAUCAACUUGUAACAGGUUCCCUUUUAUGUCCUUUAACCUUGUAGUGAUCACAAAUGCCAGUAAAUCUUUUUUUCUGUACCAUCUGAACUGAAGAAAAAGGAACCAAAUCAUCCCCAAUAUUACUCGAGCUAUGCUUCCUAUGCGACUCCUCUUGCAUAAUCAUCGAAUACGCAUGAUUCACAGAUGGUAAUGGACUCAUCAAUAGAAUCUGACUACGCACAGUACUAUAUGACUCAUUUAAUCCCAUAAGAAACUGAAAUAAAUGCUGCUGUGCAAUGUGAGUACCAUUCUGCCUAGAUUGAACACAACCACAAGAAGAUGGAGGUACAAGCGCCUUAUACUUGUCCCAAAGCAACCUUAACUUGGUAAAAUAGGCAGAUAUGGAAACAGUACCUUGUGAAUAUGUGGUAAUUUCAUGAUGCAGGAAAUAAAUUCUAGAACCGUCGACCUUUUUGAACCGUUCACUAAGAUCAGUCCAUACUGCCGCUGCAUUGGAUGCAAAGACAAUCCCUGCAGAAAGCUCCUUACUAACGGUGUUCAGAAUCCACGAGAGAACAAUCGUAUUGCACCUCUCUCAUUGAUGACCCAUUUCCUCCGGUAGCAUAUCUUUAGAACAAGUUCCAUCCACAAACCCCAACUUGUUCUUCGCCAGCAACGCAAUUCUCAUUGUUUGGCUCCAGACGUUGUAAUUCUCGACACCAAACAAUUGAUGGGCUACUAACAAAGUACCCGAAGUAUUCGAAGGAUGAAGAUAACAUGGAUGAUUGAAGUCAAUAACAGACUCAAAAGGAUUUAUCGACUCUGCUGUUAGAAGGACAGAAAAAACAAAAUACCCACAAAUAGAACCACCGUAGACGCUGGAGAGAAAAAAUGAAAAACGCCCUAAUUUGCCAACCUAAUUCCACUGGACCAACCGAAUUUGGGCCACAAAAUACCAGCCCAAUUAACUAUUUUAUGAAAUUAGAAAUCUACCACACAAAGUAGACUUAUUUUCAGAAAAUCGACUGUCGUAGCUCUGAUACCAUGUUGAAAUGAUCAAUCUCAUAUAUUGCAAAAAUGACAGUAUGUUUACAUUUUAUAGACUAUGUUUAACAAACUAACUAACUUGUAUAUAACUGAUUCUGCUAACAACUAAUUCUGCUAACUACUAACUGUCUUAACACGGUGAAUAACUUAAACCCAAUAUCCGUAAUCUUUUUUCGAUCAUAUUUAUUGAAUAGUUUGGAUUUUUCACCACAAUUUAAGAGAAUCUUUUCAAUUGGGACAUGGUCAACGUCUAGGACAAGGUGAAAGAGAAGCAGCAAAGAGGCCUAAAUGGUAAAAAGCUUGGGAAAUGAUUGAGUAGCAAAUGAGUUCUUCAUGGAUUUAGUACAGGAUCCAAGGAAGGAAAAUAUAUUCAAUCUUUAAGAACAAAUGAAAAACCAAAGGAAACCUAGAAUUUCCUUGCUAGAAAAGAGCAAAUAUUUGAGAGAUUAAGAGAGAAAACAAGAAACUAGCUAAAGAAAAAUAAAGGGGACAAAAGCAAAAGAGAAGAGCUUUGAAAUAAAUUUACUUAUGAGGCUUUGCUAAAAAAAAUGACAACACUUUUACUCAGCAAGUGAUUAUAGGCUUAAGGCUCAAUUUUAGGCCCAUAGACGUGUAAUGCUUACACUACCUCAAGGCCCAAUAGCAAGGUCAAAGACAAAGCAAAUCAAAGUAAAAUUGAACGAGACCAUACAAGACUUCGUUACAAAGGCCCGAUAGUUAGUUAAGUUAGUUAUUUGAUAAGUUGUCAUGCUUAGUUAGCAUACAUCCAAUCCUAUUAGGAUUAGGAGACUAGUUAGGGAUUGGGAAGCUAUAUAGGGUGUGUUGUCCCCUAUUCAUUCAUUGAUCAUUCAAUUUUGAGUUAAUGAGAUUUUCUUUUUCAUUUGAAGAAUUUGUCUUGAGUUUUUUUUAGAAGAGUUUAAACAAUUUUUUUUAGAUCGCGGGAAUCAUUUUCAAGUUUUGUCUUGCCAAUGAGUGUUGCUUGGAGGGGAAAUUUGAGUCGUUUGAAAGAGAUUGUGGAUUUGUCUUGUUUCCAAGGCUCUCCAGGAUUUCUACACGCCACUCUCAUUUUUUCCAUCUCUCUUCUUUCUUUUCUUUCUUUUUUCUAUUCUAUUAUUUUUACUUUGAACCUAAUCUUUGAUUUUAGUUAAAAAAUAUAUUUUAAAAAUGAUUUUAUGUUAUUUAUAAAUAUAUUUUAUUUAAAACUUAAUUCUUGUUUAAAAUAUUAAACUAUGUUGGUAAAUGUAUCAUGUUUAAUAUUUUUAAAUAUUAUUAUUUUAAUUUCAAUUUUAUAUUAAUUUAAUAUAUUGGAAUAAUAAAUUUUAAAAAUUUAAAUAUAAAAGAAAAUUUUUAUUAUUUAAUUAAAAAGUAAAAUUAUUAUUUUUUAGUAAUAUUUUAACCAAACAAACAACAUUGAAACAUUAUUACUCUAUUCCAUUUAAUUAAUCAAACCAUGUAUACUAAAAAUCUUAUCACACACGUAUGCGUGUAAAAAUUAUAAAUAUAGAACAUAAAUGUGUAUUUAAAAAUAGCAAACAAUAAAUAACGAAAUAUAUGGCUUGAAACUAAUUAUUAAUAAGAAUUACACAUGAAAUAUGUAUGAUACUAAAUGUUAAAAAAUAGAUUUAAUUUAAGAAAGUAAUAAAGUGUGCAUAAUUAAAAUUAAAAUGUAUAAAUAUAUUAAAUUAGGGCUUUAGUUGAGUGGUAAAUAAAAUGUUUUAUUAGUGCAAUUGGUUUUGGUUCAAAUCUCAUCGUAUGAACAUUUUUAUUGGUUUUUUAAAGAAAAAAAACUAAAGUACUGUAACACCCCUUACCCGAGACCAUUGCCGGAGUCGAGCACGAGGCAUUACCUAACUUAACUUACUAGUUCGGAGCAUAAAAAUUUGCUUUUUAAAAAAAAAAUUAAUUCACUCACGUUCAUUCAAUAUGUCCCUAAAAAGAAAUCUUGAGACCCUAAAUCAUACAAUAGAAACAGUUCGAGUCCAAACCGGGAACAUUAAUAAUUUUUCAAAUACUAAAACAAAUUGAAACAAUUCAUUUCAUUAUUCACAAUAAAACUGUCUACCUGUGCAACAGUUACUAAUUUAAUUAUAAUUCAAGUUACGAAACUCAAAAUUUAGAUUUGUAAAUUUUUCCUGAAACUAGACUCAUAUAUCUUCUUACCAUAAAAUUUUCAGAAUUUUUGGUUUAGCCAAUUAGUAUAGUUUAUUCUUUAAAAUCUCCCCUGUUUCACUAUUCAACAGCUUUGAUCCCUCUUCACUAAAAAUUAAUUAUCUAAUUGUACAGAAUUCGGAUAACAUUCUAGUUUGUUUCUAUUGAAAAAUAGACUCACUAAGGAAUCUAGACAUAUAAAUUGUAACUCCCAAUUCUUUCUGUACAAUUUUUAAUUAUUUUCUAAAGUCAGAACAGGGGAUUUCAAAAACUAUUUUGACCCUGUCUCACUUAAAUUAAAAUAUCUAAAAAUAUACAACUCUUUUGCUUACUAUAUUUCUUUCAUGUGAAAAUAGACUCAUUCAUCUUUAAUUAAAUAUCUCACUCAGCUUCUAAUUCAGUUUCCACCAUUUUUAGUUAUUUUUGAAAAUCACAUCAAUGCUGCUGUCCAAAAACUGUUCCAUUGCAAAUUUUUACUCUUUUAUAAUUUCUUUGCAUUAACUAUCAUUUAAGCAUACACAAUACCAAAACACAUUCUUAUAUAGCCAAUUCAAUAGUUAAUCAUUAUCAAAUAUUUACUUGCUACUUCUUAGCCAUAUCAUAAGAAUACACACAAACUGACCAACUCCCUAUACAUGCCAUAUAAAUCAAAAAGUUGUUUAACAAAAUCUACCGGAGUAAAUCUGGAUAGUGUGAUCGUUGAUGUAGAUCUGAUCCUCCAAAAAUAUAUAUAUGUCAAUCUACAAGAAACAAUAAACACACACAAGUAAGUUUACAGAAAGCUUAGUAAGUUCAUAGGCUCAUAAUAAAAUCUUACCAAAAUUUCACUAACAACAUUAAUAAACAAAUAAAAAUUAAACAUUUCCUGCCAACCACAAUCUCAAACAAUGAAUCUAUCCAAUCGAGCUCAAUAUCAGAUGUCAACUUCUAUUCCGACAUUUAGCUUCAAUUGCACUUACAAAUACCUGUCAAAUUAAGGAUCGUCUUACGGAAUUGAGUACAUCGUUUGCCCGGUGCCACAAUUUGCUUGAAUAUUUCACAAGGCUAUAACUCAGUAUGAUUUUCUUCACGGAAAUACCCUACCUACUUUUCACGACUCAGUAUGGUUUUCUUUAUCGAAAUACCAUACCUACUUUUCACAACUCAGUAUGGUUUUUUUUACCAAAAUACCAUACAUACUUUUCACAACUUAGUAUGGUUUUCUUCACUGGAAUACCAUACCUACGUUUCAAACUUUGCCAUGGAUCCACCAUGGACUUAUUCGUCAAUUCAUCACUGGUUUUCGAACGUAUGUACUCAAUCCUGCAUAUCCUUUAAUUUGAACUAACAAUCUCAUUUUAUUCUCAUUUUUACCAUAAUCAUAACUCAACAACAAUAUAUAGAUUAAUACAUUAUAUCAUUCCCACAUUAAAAAUUAAUCAUAAAAGUUCAGCCGUAUGAACUUACCUGGGCCAAUUCGUAGAAGUUGUAAAAGUUCAGAAACUAGUUCGAUACUUUCUCUUCUCCGCGUUUAUCUUCGGAUUCUCGAUAUGGUAUAAAAAUAUGAGAAACCAGCUUGUUUCAGACCUCCUAUGGCGUUUUUGCUGAUAAAUUAUGAAGAAAUCUCUAGAUUUUUCACUUUUAUCUUUGUUUUAUAUAUUUAAUUUGUAAAAUUUCCAAUUUUGCCCUUAUUUCUCCUUACUUUCAUGCUGAUUUUUCUUGCCCAACCGUCCAGCCCAUAUAAUUUGGGCCUAAUUGUAUUUUAAAUCCCUCCUUAUUAGUCACUUAAGCUAUUUAAUCACAAUUUAACAAAUUUUACACUAUUUUCAAUUUAGUCCUUUUUAAUUAAUUGACUAUCCAAACGUUAAAAUUUUCUAACGAAACUUUUAUACUAACUCAAUGACACUCCAUAAAUAUUUAUAAAAAUAUUUAUGGCUUGUUUUAUGAACUCGAGGUCUCGAUGCCUAAUUUUAGACCCAAUUUACCUAUUAAAUUCUUUUUAAAUCACAAAAUUCAAUAAAUCACAAAAUCCACUAAUUCAAAAAUUCUUCUAAAUCCACAAUUGACCCAUAAUUAUUAGUUUAUUAAAUUUUAAGACUCAUUGGUCAGAUUUAGUGAUCUUGAAUCACUAUUUCUAACACCACUGAAAAUUAGGUUGUUACAAGUACCCUCAAAUACUAUAACUUAGUUUAAUUAAGAAAGAAUAUUUUCGUAAUUUAACAAUUGAAUUAAUGACCCGAUUGUGGGUGACCUAGAUAAUACAUAUGAUAUCUUUUACCUCAUUCCCACCAAAUUACUAUUAUUUUCUUACUCUAUCCAAAUAUAGUAAAUCAAAAUUCUAAAGUGGUGAAAAAUUUAUCCAAUCUAGAGAAUUGAGAUGGAGUUUUUAAACUUUAAAAAUAGAGUUAAGGGUUGACAAAAAGUAUAUAAAAAUAUAGUAAAAUAUUAAAUAAAUAACAUAAGACAAAAUUUAAAAUUUACUUAUAGAGUAAAAAAUAUAUAUUGUACCAAAAUACAAAGUCUGACAUUAUUGAUGAUACAAUUAGAUAAUUAUUAUCCAAAAAGGAAAAGAAAGGGGACAAAGGCAAUGUCAAGUUGCCGAUUCCCAUACACAUGGAUAAAUUGGCAAGUGGGGUCAAACUUUGAUUAGGAAACCGAGUAAUCCACGUCAGUUCCACGCUUAUUUGACUCCUUCCGGAUAUUGAUUGCUUGCUAGGUCAUACAUAUUCUCCAUUCAGAUCCCACACUGUUUUCAACUACAAUUUUAUCUCAUAUAAAUUAUCUUUUAAAAACUUUUAAAUUAUAUAAUACAUAUCUCUUUUUUUUCAUUUGUAAAAUUCAAAAUAUUAGGUUAAACUUUAUUAUUAGUCCUUGUACUUUAUGAAAGUCGUGAAUUUAAUCAUGUACUUUAAUUUGAUAAAUUUUAAUACCUGCACUUUUCGAAUUUUAAAACUUCAGUCUUCACUAAACAAUAAUUGUUAAAUUUAUUAAAUUUUUUUAUUUUCAAAAUCUAAUGCAAUAAACAUAUUAUCAUAUAUAUAAUACGACGUCAGCUUGUUAUUUUCAUACAUUACUUACUACAAUCCCAGUUAAUGAAUUAAUGAUUGUCAUUUAUGUCAAGAUUGAAAUUUCAAAACUCAAACAAUAAUUGGAGAAUAUGGACUGAGUCCACAACUUGACACAUUGUACAAGAGUAGUAUUCGAACUUAACCAAACAAAUUUAACUACUACUGUUUGAGUUAGGACUAAAAUUUCAAAAUUCGAAAUGUACAUGGACUAAAUUUAACCAAUUCGAAAAGUACAUGAAUUAAAUUUGAUCAAAUUAAAGUACAAAGACUUAAUCCACAACUUUUGAAAAAGACAAGGACUAAUAGCAAAAUUUAACCUUUAUAUUAUCAUGUAUUAAAAUAUAUGUUUUUGUUAGAACAUUUUUAGUCAUACUUCUAAUAUGCAAGUAUGUUGCAAUAGACUUUCUAUUUGUUGUUUGCGUCUGGCCUAAACCAAUUUUCAUAUUUUGAGUGUUGCUUAUUUUUUAUGUGUAAGAUAUUUAUUGAGUGAUUUUUGUCACAAAUUUUAUGCAACGAAUUAGGAAUUUUUUAUAAGAGGAAACUAGCAUAAUUAUGUAGUUUUGAGAGUCCUUGAAUUAUAGGACUUUAUGUUUUUUUUUUGUGAUUAUCCUUUGACUUGAAUAUGAGACUUUGUAGGAGGUUAUUUGGAAAGAGAUCUAGAUUGUGGAGGAUUAUUUGGAAAGAUAUUGAAUGUGAGAUUACGUAGGAGUUUAUUUGGAAAAAAGUUUGUUCCUCCAGAGCGGUGUCGAUUGGAGCUAAUAUUGGAAGGCACUAUUUUGUCUAUUUUGAAAGGCUUUCUUUGUGCCUUUUGCGAGAGCUUAUUAUACACAUAUUUGAGUGUGUUUAUUAGCUUUAUAUAGGGAGAUUUGGGUGGAGAGUGAGUGCCCACAAUGUAAUACCCUGAAAAUUUAUUACAGUAAGAAAGUAAUAUAUUAUCCUUGAUAUAGUAAAGUAAGAAAAUAAAGUGACAAAACAGGAAAUUUUGAGUAUUUACUCUUGAGCCACAAAACUUUUCUUACUUUUGCGAUUUAGUCAUUUCUUGAAUUAAUAUAUCAUAAUAUACUUCAAUUUAACACCCCUAAUCCGAAUCCGUCGCCAGAAUAGGGUUACAGAGCAUUAUCGAAAUUUAUAAAUCAAACGGACAGAAAAUAUAAACAUUUCAUAUCAUAUAUCAUUCAUGUCAAGAACUCAUCAAAAUCAUACAUAUUGUCCCUUAUAUGAGCCCUCAAUGCUCAAAUUACGCAUGAGAAACAAAUCGGGACUAAAUCAUAAACUCAGAAAAUUUUUUAAAAACAUUUAACAUUUUCAACACUACAAGGGUCACACGCUCAUGUGGUCAGGCCGUGUGGAAAAUUUAAGCAUACUGACUUAUGCAAAUUAAAAGGUACAGGGGACACACGAUUGAGACACACACCCGUGUCUCUACCCGUGUGGGCGAAAAUAGACUAUUUUACAAGCCAUAUUUCUCACCCAAUUUUGUGUCAACCUACAAUCAACUUUGUACAUAUCUACAAACCAUAAUUAGCCACCAAAAACAAGUCAAAAUCAAGCUUUAAAAAUGCACUUUUAUCUAACAUUUUACCUUUCACCAUACAAUCAUAAACCAAACCACACAUCAAACAUUUAAGACAAAUAUGCACCAAACUAAUAUGUGCCAAAACACAAGCUAAAUAAGUGGCUAGUAUUAACAAAACUCAUAUAGGCCAACAUUAACCAGAAUACCUAUACAUGUCAUUAGAACCAAAUCAAAACAUUUAAAAGUACCGAUAGAACCGAUAGAUUGUGUGAUAUAACUCCGACAAAAUUCCAACCCGAUCGAGCUUCCGAUAAUCUAAAAAGUAAAGGAAAACAACUACGUAAGCAACGAAUGCUUAGUAAGCUCGUAUAAACUUUAAUCAUAUUAAUUCAUUUCAAAUAUGAAAUCUAUAUGUAUCAAGAAUAAACCAAUAUUGAUACCACAAUACUCAUGAAGCUAUAUUCAUCAAUUCACAAGGUGAAUAAAUCCACAAUAUCACAUAUACAUAUCAUCCCAAGCAUAGUAGGAUUUUAUAUAACUUUAACUUUUCCGGAUUUCUUUAUUUUCAUUUGCAUUUAAUUACUUUCCACACUUAUUCCAUAUGCAUGGCACACAAGUCAUAAACAUAUCAUUCAACUAUGGUCACAAGUUAGUGCAUUUAACCAAAGCAUUUUUCAAAUUGAUCACAUGAUAAGUCAUUUCAUAAUUUAAAACCUUACCACUUUUUCACGAGCACUAGCAUAUUUUCACUUAAAUACUUACUAAUUCAAUACAUCUUAUAAAUAAUCAUAUUACCAUUCAACCAAUAGCUUGACACUUGCCUAAACAUCAAGCAACAACACUAGUUAACAUACUUACACAUAUUACAUAUAAAUUCAAGAUUGAUAAACUUUUUUUUCUUGACAUGCCACACUUGAGUUUAUUACUAGUCUCAACAUACAUAAUUUCCUUGUUGCAUGUGAUUAAAGGGCCAGUUUUAAAAUCCUUUGUGACUAUGUAUAUUUCACGUUGUUAUCCUUGAAAGGGGUGACAACCAAAAUUCGAUAACACCCAUAUUUCACAUUGAUGGUGCUAGACCCCUAUGAUGAUUUGACAACCCCUUAAAUUUGAUACCCAUAAAUAUCAAAAUAACCUUAAAACAAUAUAUUCUAAUAAAUAACUUUUGGUUAUUUGCAUAAAUAAUAGUAAAAAAACACUAUAUUUGGGUAAAAUAAACUACACUCUUACGAGUUCCAAGAGCUUAUUUUAACAAAAGCAAAUGAAUAAAAAGAGAAGAAGAAGUAAAAACAUAAUAAUAUUUUGAUUUCAUCCGAUGUGAAUGGAACAUUAAAAAGACACUUAUUAUUAAUGUAUGUUAUAUUUAUUACAAAUUUUGAUACAUUAAAUCGUAUUUUUUUAAUGUUAUAUUUAAUAUUUUAUUAUAAUUUUUUGGGGAUUCACUCGUAAAAGGUUGGAUACAUUUGAAGUAAAAUUUCAGUUUCUAUUACAAAAAAAUUUAAGGUGUUUGAAGUACUUAAAAGAACAGUUGAAACUUUACGUGAGACAAAAGAUUUUGGUUUUGUGUAAAUUUGUGGUAUGUACAUUCACAGCCACAUGAAAACCAAGUGGGGUCAAACAAAGACUAGGAUCCCACUACAUCUACUCACUGCCACGGCAUCUGGGACCUGCCUCUUUUGUUCCGUAGCUGCUAUGGUAAUCUAUGUUGUUAUUUAUUGUUAUUGUUAUUAAGGAGAAAUUUAUCUUUUUUUAUUUUUUUAUUUAAAAAAUUAAAAAAAAUGUUUAAUAAAUAAAAAUAAAAAAAGUAUUCUUCAUAAUGAAAGAUAUUGCGUGCUCAAGUGCACUUACAACUUUAAGAAAUCUACAAAAAUUUCAGACUCAAUUCAAAUAAUUAUCUAUGAAAAAUGCUUUUGCCAUCAAAUUAAAAAAUAAUUUAACGGUAAAAGCAUGUAGAUAUUAAUUUUGAAGUCUGUAGACUACUAGUGUUUAUUAAAAAAUAUUUGCUUUGGUACGAAAUACACUAGAGGUUUGAAAUAAGUCAUGAAAACCUAAUAAUAGCAUAGUUAUUAUUUAUGGUGCAUUUUCCUCUCAUUCUUACUUAAAAUUAAUGAAAAUUUAAUUAUGUUUAGAUUCAAGUAAAAGUAAGUAUUUUGAACUUGAUGAGUAUAUCAAAACAAUUAUUGAUACAAAAACAAAAUUGAAGUACUGAUUUGAAAAAAGAAAAGAACCAAAAAACAGAUCCCAAGUUAAUGUUUUCUUCCUUCACAUCCAUUCCACCAAACAUCUUCACAAUGAUUUUAAAUUUAUUCAAUGUAUCUUUCGAAUUUAGUUUUUAAUUUAAAAUUACAAUUAAACUCAGAUUUAUCAGUUAAAUCAGUUUCCCAAAGGUUUAAAAAAUAAUAAAAUCAAGGUAGAAAUAUAAAUUCAAUUACUCAUAUUUGUUACCUCUACACUUACCUAGUUUUAAAUAAGCCAAAAAAUUGCCGUAAAAAUAGUAAAUCGUCUCCAAAGUGGCCUCUCAAUGCCAAUGGAACCCAAUAAAUGCUUUAAUUUUCUUUCCUUGAAGGAACAGCACAAUAAUGCUCUCGGUUGGCCUCAACCACCGCCGAUUAUACUAUCGAACACGUUCAAUCAAUAUGAUUACAUUUAAUACAUAUAAUUUAUUAUCAUGUACACAUUGAAAACAAAAAUACAGGACACAUCAAUAGCAAUCAUUGUAGCAUUUGCAGGAUUCAAUUAAAAAAAACACCCAGAAGCCUGCUUAUGAAUAACCCAGCUAAUAAUGAUAAUGAUGUAUAAAAAUGGGGAAAUUGAGAUCUUCCAAUAUCAAAAUUGGAGGGUGGAUCCAUUUUUAUCCACUUCCAUAACAACACUCUUAGAUUUGUUUCAUAUCAAAACCUAUAGCAGAGCACCCUCUUUUUGGAGCAUUAUCCGAUUAUUAUCUGCUUUGUUCAAUAUACCAGACAGUUCCAUGGUUCUCAUGAACAUGGAAUCGUUCAAGGAAGGUGAUUGUAAACUACUUAAUGACAAUUCACCAGCUGAUACUAGUUUCAUCACCUCAGACUCAUCCAAACCUUUGGCAGGGCCAAGGCUGCAUUCAUCCGAUCCGUGAUUUGCCAAUGCAGCUUUGAAUUUCUUGAUCUGCAAACAUAAUAUAUGUCAAACACUUACUAAUACGAAAUGAAUGAAUGCUAUACCGAAAAGCUUACCGUAGCAUUGGUGCAGCUGAAGCUGCUGACUCGCCCUUCAGCACCUUUAUAGAACCUAAAGAAGGGUAAGACAUGAAUAUUGAGACAUUGACACAUCUUCUUCAGUUCUUCAUAGUUAACUUCAAGGAAAAUCGCAUUUGGAUUCUGUUCAGCCAGUUGACAGAUCUGAUACAAACAUAACCCAACCACCAACAAACCUUACACACACGGAAAAUAAACCAAGACAUUUUUUUUUUGUUAAAAAUCAUACACACAAAAAUACCUUAGGAUGGAGGGCUUUGCAACCACCACAACCGGGUGAAUAGAAGUCGAUAAUGACCAAUCGAUCACCAGCAUUUUGUAAGGAACAUACAAGUUCUUGAGCAGAGUGGAUCUUGACCAUGUUGGGUUUAAGAUUUUUUUCCCACCAUCUCAUACAUCGGCUCACACAGUUUGUUUCAGCCUGGGAAAAAAAAAUCAAUUGCUUUAAACAUCAGCUUCCAGCCCAACCUAUUAAAACAAAAUGAACCCAGAAAAGAAAAACCUUUGAAAUCCAAAAGUAAAGCAAGGUUUUUUGACAUACUUGAACCGAGAAUUUGUUUUCAGGUUUGGUGGUGCAGUUUCUUGAACCAUUCUGAUCUGGGACAACAAGUGGUUUCCCCCAAAAAUCAAAGGUUAAAACAGGAACCUUUUUUGAUGAUGAAGAAGCCUUGGAAUCUACAGAAGUGGAUGAUGUCGAAAACCAGGAAGCUUUGUUGGAGUGGGAGCUCAACAUAGUCUCAUUGAACCCAGAAAAAUAUGAACCACACUUCAAUGAAGUAGAAGCCAUUACGCAGUUGUCAAAAUGAACCAAAAGUGAAGAUUUUGAACAAAAUAAUGUGCUCUGUUUUUGCCCCUCUGAAAGUUGGGAUGGUUGAAGAGAGAGAAAGAAAGAAGGUUGAAAAGGAGGAGGGGGUGUUGGUGGGGAUAUAAAACGGGAAGUGAGUGGAGUGGGGUCAAAAUGAUUUGGAUUUAAGGUUAUCCAAUUUGUUUUCCUUUUCUUUUUCAUUUAAAAGAAAACCAUAAUCCAAUUUGUUUUGUAGUGAUUGAGAAAUAUAUAAACCAAAUAUUUUGAGGAUAAUCAGAACUACUUCUUUUUAAUGUUUAAUUUCAAAUUUUGGAUAACAUUCUCCAACUCUUUAAGGAAAAAUAACUAUCCAUUUGCACUACAAUUCCCAAACUCUAUUUUUGCUUUUAAAUGCAGCUGCUCUGAUUUCUCAACAUAAUUUCUCUCCUUUUCUUAACCUUCCAUCCAAAUAUAAAUAAAAAAAUUUUCAUUUUAACCUCUCAAAAUAGGAUAAUAAUAAAUUUACCCCUUAACUUUUACAUAUUAUAUCAAUUUAGUUAUAAUUUUUUUUUUUAAAAUUUACAAAUGGUGAUCUUAAUUCUAAAAGAAUUAAAGGAAUAUAUAAAAAUACAUAAAUAUUUUUAAAAAUAUAAUAAUAAAUUUUAAUUUUAUAUAAUAUUAAUAUUAAUAUUAAAUAAAAAUAAUUAUAUUAGUGUUAAAUAAAAUAAAAAUCCCCCACUUAAAAUAAUUUUGUAUUAUUAUAUUUUUUUAAAAAAUUUACAUAUUAUUAUAUAUUUCUUUGAAUUUUUUAGAAUUAUGACCAAAUUGAGACUAUUCAUAAAUUUUGAGAGUUAAUUUUUUAAACUUAUAACUAAAUUGAUAUAAUAUGUAGAAGUUAGAGCUAAAUUUGUUACUAUACCGAUUUUUUUAAUUGCCACGUCAGCUUGUCAUUUGUGAUUUUACUGAGAGUGACCAAAGACCGAACUAUGUACCAUGAGUGCUUAAAUUGUAAACUUUUUAUUUCGAGUGCCUAAAAUAAUUUUUUUUAUAAUUAACCGACUAUUUGUGUAGUUGACCCCAUUUUAUCCAUUAUUAAAAUAUUUUUUGUUAGGUUAUGAGACAAAUCAGCGGUAAAUCUUAUCCAUUUUCAGAUGAUAGUUUAACCAUUUGAUUAUAUCCCAAAAUCAAAAUCAUAGCUCAGUUACUUCAAACAAUUUUUAUUUUUAUUUUUUGCAAUUAUCUAAAUAUAGCUUAAUUCAUAAUUAAAUUAUCUUAUUUUUCUAACUUGGAACUUUUUUUUUUAUCUUCAAUGGUACUUAAACUAAUUUUUUCUCACGUUUGUAUCUUCAUUAGUUAAACUUGAAAGUCUAUUUAAAAAAAAAACUUAACCCACAAAUUAGUAUUUAAACUAUGCAUUUCUAUCAUUCUCGUACCUAAACUUUUUUUUCCAUUCAAAGUAUCUAAAUUUUUUUUCCCAAGGUGGUACCUUUGUUAGUGCAAUAAUUAGUUAAAUCGUUAAGUCUAUUUAAAAAAAACAAAUUAAAAAUUGACAUGUGAUAGAAAAAUAACAAAAAGCAUUAUUUUUUCUUAUAUUUUUUUUUCAUUUUUUUCUUCAUGUAAAACCAAAAUGAUGGUUGAACUAGUUAGACCGCCAAUUCUCGGUUUGAUCGUAUAAAUUAUAAAAAAUUCAUAAAAUAAAAAUAGAAAAAAGAAGAAGAUAAACUCAAUUCAAAUGGUUUUUAUAGCUUGCUUCAAUUAGUUUGUAUCGAUUUGUGGGUCAAUUGAGUUCAACCCUUAUCUCUAAACCAAUACCUUAACUAGCUCUUGGUCUAGCCGAUCCAGUUUUGAAAACACUAGUUUUGAUCGGUGAAAUAAUUUUUUCAACCCCAUCAAGUUAAGCAAAUAGGCAGUGAAGUUGAAAACAAAAUUAAUUGCCAGCGUUUAGACCUCAGGAGGGAAAAUUUCGAGCAAUGCUGGUAUUGCUAGACAUUAUAAAGGAAUAAGAAAGGAAAGAAGAGAACAAAUGUAAAAGGAAAAUAAAAUAAAUUUUAAAAAUAUUUUUUAAGUUUAUAUUACGUGGUCAUUUAUUAUUGGUUGGAUUUUUUUUCUAAAAUGGGUACCAAAAGAAUUUGGUAAUUUUAAAAAUAUUUUGGUGUAAAAUGGGUAACAAAAGAAUAUUUUAGGUACCACUUGUGAUUAAAAAAUAGUUUAGGUACCAACUUAGAAAGAAAGAUAUAGUUUAGGUACUAAUUUGUGGCCCUUUAAAAUAGAUUUGUCGGUUUGACAAACUAUUGGACCAAUGGACGGGAAAGAAAUGUAGUUUAGGAAUCCUUUGUGACCGAAAAAAAAGGGUUAGGUACUAAGAUGAGAAAAAAUAGUAUAAUUUAGGUACCAAUUUGCCAUUGCAGCCAAACAACUAUAUUUUAUAGGGGUUAUAUGUAGCUUGCUCCCUUGAACUUGUCCAAAAGUUCCUAACUGGUACCUAAUUUUUUUUAACCUAGUUGGUAACUGAAUUUGUAUUUAGUCACCCAAGUGGGUGUCUCCUCACUAGCAUUGUUAAUUUGUGUUGACUUGACACUAAUAGCCAAUCAGAUAGUGAUACGUGAUAGCCUCUCAAUGUGUCAUGUGAUGGACAUGAGUUAAAAAUGUUACAAUUUUAAAAAUAUAUAAAUUAAUAAAAGGAAUAUAUUUUUAUAUAAAAAAUGAAUCUAAACAUAUGAUUGUCCGUCACGUGGUAUAUUAAGAGGAUGUCAUGUGUCAUCAUAAGAUUGGCUAUCAGUGCCAUUUGUAAAAAUUUAAUCGAAACAAAUAAUAUACGAAAUAAUUAAAUAAAACUAUAAUAUUUUUAAAACAAGCGUAUCGAAAAAUUUAGAACAAAACUUGAGAAAAUUGAGAGAGUUGAGAGUUUAGAGAGAAUAGAGAGAGUUGGAUUUGAGUGAAAAGAAUGAAAAAUUGUUUGAUAUUUAUAGAAAAAAAAGUUACCGUUGGCCCUUAAAAAAUUUUAUCGUUGCCAACGUUCAAAAAGUCGUUGGGGAAAUGAUCGUUGGAGCUGAACGCGCUUUCACACACAUUCUCCUAAAAUGACAUAUUUCUUUAAUUUAAAAAAUAUAUAUAAAAAACGAAUUAAAAAAAACUUAUAUCUUUCUAACUUAGCAACUAAAGAAAAUAAAAGUUCAGAGAUAUUUUAGGGUAAAUUACACAUAAAAGCCCUAUUUUUUAAAAAUUUACCGAAAUGGGCCCGAUAUUUUAUUAUUUACCGGAAUGGGCCAUUUUUCCCGAAAUCGCGUCCACGUCAGCGCGAUGUCAGGGGAUGUGUCAGCAAGUGGUGUCCACGUCAGCGCGAUUACUUACAUGGCAACAAAUCGCGUCCACGUAAGCGCGAUUUCCUGACGUAGAAGCAAUAAUUCAUGAACAAUUUAUGUUUUUUAGCUUGGAAAACUUUGAAAGGCCAUAACUUUUGGCUCGGUUGUCCGAUUGAGAUGAUUUUUUUUUUGAUUUCGAAUAACUUUUCGAGAUCUACGUGUUGAAAAUAGCCAAAGGCUGUUUGCCGCUGUUUUAGUAAAAAAAGAUCCUUUUUGCCUCUAAAUUUUAAUUUUUUUGGUUUAAAAUUGAAUUUUAAAACAUUUAAAUCAUUAUUUUCCUUAUUUAUUUGAAGUAAACACCGAAUUCUUUUUUACAAAAUUGUUGUAUUAUUUUUUUUUGAUUUGACACGUGUAUGGAAUAGGUCCGAUAAAUCAUUAGAACGUAAGUAAUAUAAUUUAGAUAAUAACAGUAUUUUUAUAAUAUGUCAGUUAAUUAGUUUAGCUUAGUUGGUUAAGAUGCUUGCUUUUUUCCUUUAGUACCUUGGUUCAACUCUUGUUGGUAAUAAUUUUGAAUCUUUUUUGUACUUGUUGCAUUUAUUUUUUUAAUCAAUUAACUCUUCAAUAUUACAUUAAUAUAUAUUAUUAGUACAAUAGUAUAGACGGAUUGACAAUUUGAGCUACAAUAUUAUGAAUAUUAACUACAAUACAUAAUUUGAGCUACAUAUUACAGUAAUACAUUAAUAUGUAUUAUUAGGGGCAAAAUACGAAAAAAAUUACACAUAAAAGUCCUAUUUUUUAAAAAUUUACCGAAAUAGGCCCGGUAUUUUAUUAUUUACCGAAAUGAGCCAUUUUCCCCAAAAUCGCGUCCACCUCAGCAUGAUGUCAAGGGACGUGUCAGCAAAUCGCGUCCUCGUAGGCACGAUUUGUGUCCACGUAAGCAAAUCGCGCUGACGUGGACGCGAUUUGCUGACACGUCCCCUGACAUCGUGCUGACGUGGAUGCAAUUUCGGGGAAAAUGACCCAUUCCGGUAAAUAAUAAAAUACCGGGUCCAUUUCAGUAAAUUUUAAAAAAAUAGGGCUUUUUUUGGUAUUUUGCCCGAUAUUUUAACCUAAAAUAAUGUAUGGGGUACAUAGGCAAAACACUAAAAAAAACACAUUUUUUUAAAAAUUUACCGGAAUGGGCCCGGUAAUAAAUUAAUUACCGGAAUGACCCAAUUUUCCGAAAGCGCGUCCACGUCAGUGCGAUAUUAGGGGACGUGGCAGGAAAACGCUUCCUCAAGGAAUGUCUACUCGAAAUGUCUACUCGAAAUCAUUUUUUUAGGACCUACUGUAGCAAAAGCGCGUCCACGUGGGAGCUUCUACUUAAAAACCCUAAUUUAUUAAAUUAGAGUAAAUUAAAUUAAGUAACCCUAAACCCCAAACCCUAAUUUAUUUGAGUUUUUACUUAAAAACCCUAAACACUAAACCAUUAACUAAUUUAUUAAAAAUUUAUAAUUAAUUUACUCAAGUAACUCUAAACCCUAAUUUAUUUGAUUUUUCCUUAAAAACCCUUAACUCUAAACCCUAAUAUGAUUUUUAAAUUUUUUAAUUAAAUUACUCAAGUAACCCUAAGCCCUAAUUUAAUUGAUUUUUUCUUAAAAACAAUAAACACGAAAACUAAUCCAAUUUUGAAAAAUUUAUAAUUAAUUUAAUUGACAAACCCUAAAUCCUAAUCCCUUAUUUAUUUAAUUUUUUCUCUUAAACCCUAACUCUAACCUAACCCUAACUCUAACCUAACCCUAAACCAAUAACCCAAAACCCACUGUAGGAGACACGGGAAAAACGCUUCCUCAAGAACGCGUUUUUCUGCCACGUCCCUUGACAUCGCGCUGACGUGGACGUGCUUUCGCGAAAAUAGGACUAUUCCGGUAAAUAAUUAUUUACCGGGCCUAUUUCGAUAAAUUUAAAAAAAAAAAAACUUUUAUAUGUAAUUUACCCGGGGUACACUAAUCCAAUUUUGGAUUAGGAAAAUACACAUAGCGGGACUCCCAAAGCAUCAUUGGCACAUAUAGCAAAUGUUAAAAUAUUCUUAAAGAAAAAAAAAACUUAAAACCUAAAUUUUUUUUUUUUGUGGGGAUCUGAAUGGAGACAAUUCAAGGGACAAAUUAUGGAAGGAAAGAAAGAAAAACAAACCCUCAAAUUGAGCAUUUUUUAAUCAGAAAAUUAUUUUCUUGUCUAGGCUAGCUAGUGAUAAAUUUUAAAAAGAUUUUACGUUUAUAGAAUUAUAUAUAUAUAUAUUAAUAAUUCAUAUUAUAUAAAUAGUAAAAUAUUUUAUAUAUUAAUGUGUUUUGAUUAAUUUUUAAUUUUCUUUUGGUAUCAUAUUAUAAGAUAGGCCAAAUAUUAUAUAUAAAAAAAUAAAAUCUUGAUUGGGAACUAAAAGUUCCAAAUCAGCCACAUUCGAUGAGACAGAGGAAACUAUAUGGUAUUCUCUGUGAAAAAAGAAACACUCUCUUUUGCCAAAGAUGAAGAUAAUGUCAGGUUUAUUAGUAUUUUAAUAAAAUUUCUAUUUCUUUAUCUCAUCUUCGUUUAUCACAGAACUUUAACCACUCAUAGCAUCUCACAGCCACAUGAUUGUAAUUAGCAUUGGAUGAACAAAAAAAUUAAUGUUCAGAAAGUCUGAUUGUGUGUAUCAUAGUUGUUCGUGACUAGGAUUGAUUUUUAAAAAAAGAGUUAAUUUUUAUUGUUUGAAAAAGAAGUAAAAUAUUUUACAUCAUAAUUAAAUUUAAUAAAAAUAUCACCUUUAACAAAAAUAUAAUGCGGAUGGAAUCUAAAAAUUUAAAUAGAAAAUAUAUUGAAACCAUCUUUAUUAAAUACGUAACCAAUUAAAUUUGUUGAAUUUUAGUUACAAUCAAAAUUAAUUUUAAAUCGAUUGAGUCUUAAUUCGAUUUGCAUAGGUAUCGUUAUCAAUGCAAAAUGAUGUGGUUUCGAGUGUGUUGAAGUGUAUUAUCCUCCUAUUUAUGAGUUGAAGAGGGACUAUGGGUAGUUCUAGAUAUUGUAUCAAAAAAAUAGAUAUGAUCAGAACUUAUAAUAAAACUUGAAAAAAAAUAUAUAAUUUUUUAUUCUAAAAAAUUUUGGAAUGUGUUUGGUUAAAUAAAAGUUACAUUUUCCGAAACAUUUGACUAUACCUUUAGUAAUGUAAGAUUGUUUUAUAAGUUUAGCUUAUUUUUUUAAAGAUUUUUAUUUAUUUUGGUCCAUUAAUUUAAUAAUUUCGUACAUUUUGGUAUUUAUAUACUUUUUUAAAAAAAAAUUGAUAUUUACUCGAUAAUUAACUUCAUUUUGAGUUUUCAAUUUAGAUUUCAUUAUAUUUAUUUUCAUGUCAUUUUAAUAGUAUAUCUACGUAGAUGAUUGCUAACAUUAUACAUUAAUUUUUGGAGAGAGUUUAUAAAUACAAAUACAAUAUAAUAUAAUUAUAAAUACAUGCCUGAAUAAUUAUAAAGUAAAAUCAAAUUAAUGUAGAGUAUAAAAAAAUAAAAAAUCAUAAUAUAAAUAAAAAAAUUCACACAGAAUAAUUACGCAUUUAUACAUAAUAAUUAGUCAACAAUCCUAAAACUUUCAUACAUUAAUAAAUUAACAAUGAUUUGAUUUUACAAGUGAAAUUAAUAAAAUUUUAAUUAAAAAUAUCUCCUUUUAUAAUUUCAGAAUUUGCAAUGGAUAGAAGCAAUUGAGAUUAGGAUAGGGAUGCUGUUGCCAUAUCUUCACAUGGGACUAGAUUGAAACAGUUGAAGAACAAUAGAAAGAGGAUUGUAGUUAGCAGAAAAAAGCAAUCCUUUUAUCCACAUUGGAUAAAAAGAUAUUGAGGUUGAAACCCAUGCCUUGACCACCAAGGGACUGCAUAUGGAUAUUUAUUUUAGGAUUUUGGAUAAAUAAAUGUGGGGCAGCUUUUAAAGUAUUGCCCACGGAUUUUGGGAUUUUCUUCACAUACAUAUUAUACCCAUUGUUUUGGAACCCUAGUUUUGCUAACAUUGACUUUGAAUUUUUAAACCAGUUUUUGCAAUAUGUGUUUGUUUUAUAGUUUUAAAAUUAUAUUAGUUUAUUUUAGUUUUAUAUUAUUUUAAUAAAAAGAUACAUAACUUUAUGAUAUAUUAUAAUUUUAAAAUUAUAUUCACCAACAAGUAUUGAUAGUAAGAUAUAUUAUGUUUUCAAAGGGAGAACAAUGUUUAAAUCUUAAAAACAACAUUGUUAGGAGGGGCAACCAUGAAACCUGAACAUUUAAAAAAAAUAUUAUAUUAAUUUAUUUAAUUUAUCAUCUUAAUAAAAAGGGUAAACUAUGCCUAAAGUCACUAAGCUAUUAGUAAUUUUAUGUUUUUAUUACUCAACUUUUAAAAGUUAUAAAAUGGUCACUGAACUAUUUAAAAGUUUUCAUUUAAGUCCCUAGGCUGUUAAAAUCAAUGUUGUAUAGCAUUCUUUGUUCACACCGCCUGUACCAACUGAAAAUUCUCAUUCCCCAAUUCUCUUCUAUAGUUCAAUUGUUUUUUCAUGAAACAUCUUUGAACAUCACAAAUCUACAAGCCAAAAUCCAAACAACUUUCUUCUCCGAUCUCCAACAAUGGCUGUCAAAUCGGUUUGGAUCUAAGGUAUGUUCUUUCACUCAUUGAUGGGUAUUGAUCCACUGUACUAAUCAUCGAAUAGUCUCUUGGAGCUUGCUAGCUGGACUUUAAAAAAAAUUAAUAAUGACUUAAAUAAAAACUUUUGAAUAGUUCAGUGACUAUUUUGUAACUUUUUGAAGCUAAGUGGCCAAAACGUAAACUUACUAAUAGUUUAGUGACUUUGGGUGUAGUUUAUCAUAAUAAUAGUAAAAACUAGAUUAUGACAUAUCCAUAAUGUAGGUGAAACAAAUUUAUAAAAAAAAAUAGCAUGAAAACUAAAUGUGGUUUUUAUUAAAAUGGUAAAGUUGAGAUAGUGACAACCAAGUUAUUUUAAUUUCAAAUAUCAUAAUUCCCAUCACGUGUAUGUAUUUUUCUAGAUUUAUCAAAAUAUAAAGACAAAAUAAUAUUCGUGGCUUUGUAAGUGGAAUGAGAUUUUGAUAAUUUUACAACCAUGAUAAUAUGUGACACUAACUCAGCCGAACACAUUACAAUAGUACUAGAUUUUGUCACAUCCAUAAUGUGGAUGUUAAAAAUAUUUUAUUUUUUGGAAAAAUUUUAGAAACUGUCGACUUCUAGCAGUUCUUUCAACGAAGAUGGCAAGGAGAGGAUUGUCAGAAUAAGGAAGUAGAUUCAGAUGUGGUGAUGGUGGUAGAAUUGGACUCAGAUUCACCAUUAUCAUGGAAGGAGGGGUUGUUAGGGAAAAGUUCUCGUGUUUUGAGAGAGAAGAAUGGUUCAUCAAGCAUAAAAGAAGAUGAUGAUUUUACCUUCAUGGAAGGAGACAUUAUGAGAUCCUUUGUGAAUGAUAUCCCAUCAAUUAAUUUCUCGGAGAGAAUUAAUUAGUUGUUAAUUAAGGAUAUGGCUUUCACAGUGGUAGUGAAGCUCUUAGGCAAGAAUAUUGGGUAUGCAAUGCUUCAAAACAAAAUCUAUGCUUUGUGGAAGCCAACUCAGCCUUUCAAUUUGUGGUUUUGGAACGUUCGAGUUCAUGUUAUUUGAUUUGUAAGGAGAUGGAGAUUAGGGAAGAGCUUGAAAUUGUUAUUUAUCACAAAUAAAUGCUUUAGAAGCAGAAAUCCCGAUGUGAGUCGCUUAAUUUUGGACAUUGGAAUACUAAGUUUUUUCAUUAUCGCACAAUUCAAAGGAGAAAGGCUAAUCGUAUCAUCGCCUUGCGAAACCAAUUAGGGGAUUGGAUUUAUGAUCUAGAUGAUAUUUUUCAAGAGGUAGUCAAUUUUUUCCAAAAGUUGUAUAGGGAACAGUCGAAUCCUGGGGAUUUCCUCAAAUUAAACAAUGUGAUAAAUUUUUUUUGGGGAGAGCAAUUUCUAAUGAGGAAAUUAAGACUGCUCUAUUUGAUAUGGCCCCUUCAAAGGCUCUUGGUAGUGAUGGUUUCUAUACCUACUUCUUUCAGAAUUAGUGGGAUGUUACUGGGGAUGCUAUUUAUGAUUGGGUUAAAGGUGUCUUUAAUAGAGACUCUAUUUAUCAAGAGCUUAAUAAUAUACUUUCAUUGUUCUUGUGCCUAAAGUUCCUAAUCCUGAGGAGUUUUCACAAUUUCAACCUAUUAGCCUCAGUUCCGUUUUAUACAAGCUUGUUAUGAAGGUGCCAAUCACUUCCGGAUAAUCUUCCCAAAAAUCAUUUCUCAUGAGCAGAUUGAUUUUAUUGUGAGAAAAAAUAUUUCAGAUAAUAUUCUUAUUGCCCAGAAGGUCGUGCACUUUAUGAAGGCUAAGAAUAAAAGGUAGAUGGCUGUUAAAAUAGAUCUUGAAAAGGCUUAUGGUAGGUUAUAGUGGGAUUUUAUUGAUGCUUCCCUUCAGGUUGCUGGCAUAUCGAAGUUUCUUAGGAAAGUGAUCAUGUCAGCAGUUUUGAACUCUACAGUGUAGAUUUUGUGGAACGGAAUUUCAACUCCAAAGUUUAAGCCUUUGAGAAGCAUUAGACAGGGUUGCCUAUUAUCCCCCUAUCUGUUUAUGCUAUGUAUGAAAUGGUUAGGACAUGGUAUGCAGUCAGUCAUUUCUAGCAGCAAGCGGAGUCUUAUCAGAUUAUUUCAUUCGAGACUUGAUUUAUCCUACUUGUUCUUUGUAGACUACUUGGUUAUCGUUUCUAAGGUGGGUUUGAAGCAUGCUUUGACCCUUAGGGAUAUCUUUAAAAAUUUUUGUGGUAUCUUUGAUCAUCGAGUUAAUGCUCGGAAAACUAUUAUCUUCUUUUUUAGAAAAGUGGACAUUGAUCUUAGUGAUAUAUUGAGCAACCUUUGGUUUCAAAAGGUACAUAAUCUUGGUACCUAUUUGGAGGUGUUGUUAUUCCAUGACAGAGUUAUUUGCUUUACUUUGAGGUUUGUGGUGGAGAAUGUGCGAAGUAGAGGUGCUCAUGGGCCGGGCCGGGCAGGGCCCAUAAAAAAAUUUCGGCCCGGGUCCUAGGCCCGGGCCCGGCCCGUCCCGAAAUAUGAGCCUGAAAUUUUGCCCAGGCCCGGCCCGGGAAAAAAUUCAUAAGCUCGGGCCCGGCCCGGUCCGGCCCAUUUUUUUAAAAAUACCAAAAUUUAUUUAAAAUUAAAAAAGUAUUUUAAAAUAUUUAAAUUAAAAAAAUUUAAAAGUAUUUUAAAAAUAUUUUAAAAUUAAAAAAUUUAAAAAGUAUUUUAAAAAAUAUUUUAAAAAUAUUUUAAAAUUAAAAAUAAUAAAAAAGUAUUUUAAAAAUAUUUUAAAAUUACAAAAAUUUAAAAAAUAAAUAUAUUUAUUAUAUCGGGCCGGGCCCGGACCAAAAAAGUGGUGCCCGAGGCCCGGCCUGUUUUUUAAAUGGGCCCUGUUUUUUGCCCAAGCCCAUAUUUCGGGCCUAUAUUUUUACCCAAACCCUCCCAUAUUUCGGGCGGGCCGUCGGGCCGGGCCGGGCCGCCUGGCCCAUGAGCACCUCUAGUGCGAAGUAAACUAAAUCAAAAGGACGUUAAGCAGUUGUCACUAGUAGGUAGAAUUAGUCUUACUCAAACUAUUUUUCUUUCUAUCCCUAACUAUUUUAUGCAGUCUAUGUGGAUUCCUAAAGGUAUAUGUGACGAAAUUGAACACUUGGCAAGACAGUUCGUAUAGGGUUCUUCUAAUGGUGUAAGGAAGAUGUCACUGGUUGAUUGGGAUUUUCUUUGCCAACCAUGUUCUUGCGGUAGCCUCAGGUUUCAGCACAUAGAGGAUCAGAAUUCCUCUUCUUUUUUAUUAUUAAAGUUUGCAUUUAAUCUUGUAUCCAAAGAUGAUAAACUAUGUGUAAUAGGCCCAAUUUGCCCAGCUCGUUAGUAAAAUAAACCAAAUGAUAAAAUAAAAUAAUAGUCCAAAACCAUAGUGUCCAGAUUACAAACCAAGCUAAAUUAAGCCCAAACCCGUUUACAAAAUCCAAAAAUCCCUAGCCCAAUACCCUAGCCCAACUAGCCUAAACACCCAAUGGCCCAAUGGCCAGCACCUAAAGACAGUUAAUAGAAAACCCUAGGCAUUCAGCCCUAGCACGAGCGCCGCAAUAGCAACCUCCAGCGCUGUUCUCCCACGCCACGCACGCCUCCGUACAGCUGGCCUUCGUACGUGCUACGUCUCUGACACCGUACGCCGUACCUGCACACAAGCAACAAAACAAACAAACGCACACACGAAAGGAGCAGCAAAAAAAUGACAGAAAAGGGGCAAUAAAGGGGAUUUUUGGGGAUUUUCUUUUUCUUUUGAUUUCUUUUUUUCUUUCUGUAUUUUUGGCUAUAAAAAGCCAAUACAAAAAUUGUAAAUUUUUACGCAUAUACAGAGAUUGAAUGAAAAAGAAAAAAAUAUUCAGAGAAAAGAAAAAAAUAUAUUCGAAUAGGUGAUUCGCCAUUUUCAUUUUUAUUUUUUUUCUUCUGCAUUUCUCACUGUUUCCUUUUGUUAUUUUUAUACAAAGAAGAGAAAAAAAUAAAAAAUGGAGAUGAGCGAGCUUACUUGGUGGCCGAUCUUCAUUCUGCUCCGUCGCAAUCGGAGUCGGAUGGAGAAUGGAGGCCCGAAGCGGCGUGGGGAGAAAUCCUUAGGUUUAGUUUUUUUUUAGUUUUUUUGUAAAUGUCUGAUGGUUGUUUAGUUUAGGGUUUUAUUUUGGCCCUCACGUGAUGUAUGAAAUGACGCCGUUUGGAGUCUGAUCAGUGACUCUAAAACGGCGCCGUAUUGACCCAGAUCCGUGCGCGACCCGACCUGCUCCAUGGGGGAUCCGCGUGUUUUGAUUAAUGGGUUAUUUACAACCCCAGUCCAUCCGCUUUUCAAAUGCGCUUCAAUCCAAUCCUUUUAUUUCUUUUUAGAUUUAAUCUCUCAUUUUGUUUUUGUUUCAUUCUAAUCCACAUUAAAGCGCUGCGUUUUGGGCAAGGGAUUAUUUCCCUUUUUGAUCCUUAAUAUUACGCGCGCGUUUCAACACAGCCUUUGGACAUCUCGAAUUGCAUUUCUCAUCCUUUAAAUUUGGUUUUACUUUCGAUUUAGUCCCUUUUUUUGCCCUUUUUUAUUAUUAAAUUAUUUUUAUUAUCCUGGUUAUCAUCAUUAUUAUUAGUAUUAUUAUUUAUAUUAGUUUAUAUAUUUAUCUUCAUUUUUUUAUGUAUGUACAUUAUUAUAUAAUAUUAUUUUAGGUGUUAACAUUUAUAUAAGAUAUUGUUUUAUACAUAUAUGCAAUUAUAUUAAACUAUUUUGAUUAUAUACAUGUAUACAUAACAUAUUAUUGAUUUUAUAUUAUAUCUUUUAUUUAUAAAUACAUUUUUUAAAAAAGAAAAAAAAAAACCUACUUUAAUAUAUUUUGCUUAUUUCAACUUUUGUAUAUUAUUGUGUAUAUAUUAUCAUUAAAAUUUUCCUUCCACAUGUACUAUUUAUUUAAAUUAAUAUAUGUAUGUGAUUUAAUUCAUUUUGAUUUAUCUUUUUAUAGUAUUUAUUUUGAAUGUUGAUAUUUGUGUUUGCAUGAUGUGUGUUUGAUAUUUUUGCCCGCAUAUGUAUUAUAUUAUUUAUUCGUAUUUAUUGGUUAUCGAUGAUUAUUAGUAUACUUUAGCCUAUUGUUUUGCAUUAUAUGUUAACAUCCCAUUGCAUUUUUUUUAAUAUUCGGUUUCACUAAAACCCCAAAAUCAUUUUUAUUUCAUAAUUUUAAAAAAAGGGCCUAGCGUUUAUAAUUCUCGAGAGAAUUGUGCCCUAACUUACUGGGUUCCAAUUUGUCUCGAUGAAUUAGAUAGCCAUGUGUUUCUUUUAUUAAAACACAAAUAAAAAGCUCAUUCUCGGGAAUUCAAUAUGUUGUGUCCUAACGUAUUGGAUAUGACAUGUUAUUUUCUCGAGACGAGGGUUCUUCUAAAUAAAAAAGGCAAUAUUCGAUAUUUAGGAAUUUUGUGAAAUUGAACCCUAACUUACUGGGUUUUGAUUUUUCAUUUGACCCAAAUAAUCAGAUAUCCUUCUCAAAAUGCAUAGGUUUUAAAGGUCGAAAGAUGAACAUAAUUUUGAGGAUUUGAAAUAUUGGGCUCUAACUUAUUGAAGUGUGACAAUCUAUUUCCUUGAAAUAAAUGAGUUUCAUCCUCCGAUUCGUUUCAUUCAAAUUUUUUAUUUAAAAGGAUUGUAUUUUUAAAAUCUUUUCAAAAUUUCCACUCUAAGACAUUAAAUAAUCAAUUCGGUACCAAUUUUGGGCGUAUUGAGGGUGCUAACCCUUUCUCGUGCGUAACCGACUCCCGAACCUAUUUUCUCAAAAUUCGCAGACCUAAAAUCAUUUUUUUGGUGAACCGGUCACACCUCGAUAAAGGAUCGGUGGCGACUCCAAUUUUCAUUUUUUUGGUCGACAACUAAAUUUUUGCUUUCAAAAAAUGGCACUAUGGGUUCGGGUUCUCCGAGAAAAAUACAGGAUGAUGAUGAAGGUACCCAAAAAGAUAGCGUAAGGAAACUGUUUAGCUGUCUGGAGAGCCAUUGUUAAGGUAUGGCCUUUAUUGCACGAAAACUUGGUUUGGUUAGUGAGAACUGGGAACUUUAUACAUUGUUGGAAGGACCCUUGGAUACCUAAUUUAGGUCUUUUGAUUAACUAUGUACCUACUCAUAAAAACCCCAUAUCGGAUAAUUUGUUGCAUGACAUGGUAACUAGAGAUAUGGCUUGGAAUCUGGACUUGUUUAGAAUAUGGUUGUUGAAGGAUAUUAUUACAAGAAUUGUUGGUAUUCCCCCCUCUGCAGUCCUUUGUAAGGGAAUAUAGAAUAAUUGGAUUGGCACUUCCAUUGGGGCUUUUUAAGUGAAAAGCGUGUAUAGAUCACUUCGAGAGAGUUCUUGGCAUACUAAAAAUAGAUGGUGGAAGGUUAUUUGGAAGUUUUCAGGACCUCAAUGUAUUUAACUAUUUUUAUUGUUACUCUCCAAACAACACCUUCUAACAAAUAUGGAACGAUUAAGGAGGGGUAUCAUUCAACAUGGCUCGUGUUUGUUGUGUCGACAUGGUGAUGAAGACUGAAUUCAUGUCCUUAAGGAUUGUCCGGCGACUAGCGAAGUGUGGUGUCAUCUCGUACCACUGGAACUAUGAAGCAUUUCUUUUUGUAGGGGGUCUAAUGGAGUGGAUGGAGAUGAAUUUAUUUUGCUUGAUCUAGUUACCAGAUGUGGGUAGUUUUUGGGCAAGUCUUUUUGGUAUAAUCGCUUAGUGCAUAUGGAAGAAUAAAAACCUUUUUAUCUUGCAAGGAAAAACUUGGAACUCCAUUGAAACUAUUAAGUCUUCUGUGAGUCGGGGAAAACAAUAUUUCUUAGCUCACACAGGUAAUUCGACAGAACAUAUUGAAAUUGCUUAUGAUUUUUCCAUGACAAGUAACUGGAUUCAACUAUACAUUGAUGAAAUUGUUAAGAUGAGUGUGGGGGUCGAUUCUUGGAUUUAAUUGAUAUUUGGGGGUUUGUUCCGCUUUUUAUGCUGAACUAUAGGACAUUCUAGAUAGUUUGGCCCUCACCCAAGGGAAGGAAUAUCAGAAGGUUGUGAUCCACACAGACAAUCUAGAAGUAGUCAAAGUCAUUCAAGAUAUUCAUUUGGCAGUUUCUUCUUGAGCUUUGUUACGAAGGAUACAUAUAAGAUUACAAGAUAUACAACAUUAGAGAUAAGGCACAUUCCCAGGGAGAGGAACUAAGUCGCAGAUUGUAUGGCAAAGAUGGCCACGACAAGAAGUACAAAUAUGCAAGUGUUUGAAGACAUUCUUGAAGAUCUACCACUUGUUCUUGAAAUUGAUAGAAUUGUCAAUUUUCGAUCAUGUUAGUUUAAUACAGUCAGAAUGUUUUCCAUACAAAAAAAGAUUUCUCUUAAAUUUAUUUAAUAAUGAAUAUAGGUGAAGUGGUAAUAAACUUUUAUUAUAAUACUAUUAAACACAUGUUCGAUUCUUGAAUUAGUAAUUUGUAAAUCUUUUGUUUGAAGAUGAUAUAUAAGUAUGGAAAGGCAAAUGCGUCAUCAUAAUAAUAUUAAUUAUAAUUUAAAAGAAUAGGUAUUUCUUUAAUUUCAUGAAUGGUUGGUGACCCAAUUAAGGAUGACACCUACUUAGUAAAGUGCUUAUGUUAUAUUUCUUCAAUUUCAUUGGCAUAAUAUAUUUUUGGUAUAAAAUAAAAAAAAAGUAAAUUAUUUUAGGUCGUAUUUAAUCAAUUUAUGACUAGCAACAACAGUAACUAAACAAUUUUCUAUCACACUUGUAAAUAUGUGGUACCUAGUAAUAGGAAUAAUAAAGAAAUAAAAAAGUUGAAUGAUUCAACUUUGGAAAGAAAAGCCCACGUCCAGAGUAUAUUAAACUCAAACCUCUAUCCUUUACAAUAUAUAUCUAAUAAAUAAAUAUAAAACUCCUUUGAAUAAUAAAAAUCAUAAAUGAAGCUAUAUAAAAUUUAUGGUUCUAAAUAAAAAUUCAUGUACAUUAUUUUAUUAAAAAUAUAUAAAAUUGAAAUAAGGUAUUAAAAGAUGAAUACCUUUUAUAUCUGUUAUUUUUUUAUUAUAUUUAUAUACAUAUACCAAUUAUGAAAUUUAUCUAAUAUAUGAAAUAUUAAAAUUUAACUUUAAUGAGUUUUAAAAUUGUAGUUAGUUAAACUUGUAAAAAUAAGGACAAAGUUGAUCUAUAUUACCAACCUCAUGUUAAAUAAAUGGAUGGGGUUUCUCAUUUUAACGAGGCUUUGGGUUUGGACCAAAUGAGAUGGCAUGCUCUGCUUCCUUUGUUUUCUUCUUUCACACGCCCUUCCAGUCUUAUUUUAUGGUUUUUAAAUAUUAUUUGAUAAAUUUUCCAAGCCAAUAAAAUCCUUCAAAUCCUACUCCUAAGAAAUCUAUUGCAUGUGGUUUUCCAAGAAAACAGACCGGCCUGCUUCACAAAGCCCAAAGUCAUCCAUGUCGCGUCAUCACCUUUCCUCCACAUUCUCAGACAUUAAAAGUGACUUUAGUGGGCAUAGCAACACAAUUAAGCCUGCUGAUCAACUAAACAUACGAUACUGCCAUUAAAGCCACCAAUGUCAUCAAAAUAUUCAUCCCAAAUCUAUACAAAUUAUUCAGCCUCUAACUAAUGGGAUGGAAGGUCACCAAGAAAGGGCAAAUGGCUGCUAAAGCUGACAAAUCGAAAUUAGAAUGGAUUAAAUAAAGAGAGUGGCAUCAUGGUUAGGUAUUUGAGAUUCAAAGUUCGUUGGUGAGUAGGGUUACCAGGUCGUUUUCCAAUCUACGCAUCUAAACCACCAGCUUUACUUACUUUAGAAUCUGAGAAUUUUUGUGUGAUUCAAAUCUUGAUUCGAGCAUUUUGUCAUAGUAAACUUAAUGACUUGACUAUGAUGUAAUAGGGUUUUGGGGGAUCUCGUACACCUGUGGUUGAGGGUUUUAGAACAUCUUGUGUAGAAUAUUUGAGAGACAAAUAUUGUUAUUUAUAGAAGGCCAGAUAUUCGUUUUCAGUGGACAAAUUUUACCAUUCACAAUAUGUAACUUGACGAGAUCCUCGCACACAAAUAAAAACUCAACAACUUUAUAUAUUUUUAUGCGUAUAGAAGAAUUAUUAAAUCGUUGGUAAAGAGUAAAAAUAUAUAUAUUUGAGUUUUUUAAUUAUAUGUUAGAAUGUUAAUAUUUUUCUAAUUUCACAAAUCAACUUAAAAUAUUGUCAUUUAUCUCAUUUCUUUUAUGUAUUUAAACCUUACAUUCACUUAUCAACUUUAACAUCAAAUAUUUUCUCGAGUAAAAAUGUUAACCUUCUCUACCACUCGUGGAAAACUCAAACCCAAAACUGAAAAAGGACUGCAAUUUCCAAUCCAAUUUAUUGCUUGUAAUCCAUGAAGUAAAAACUUAAAAUUUCACAUUACUUUAUUAAUACAUGUCAAGUUUCAUGGAAAAUUAAGCAACCAUCUCUUUCCUGUUUUUACCACUUCACUAUAUGAUAGGGGUGUUAGAAAAUAUGAUUUAUAUUAAUAAAUACCUUUAUUUAAUUUUAAUUUAAGAAAAAGUGUAGAUGUAUGUAGAAGAGAAUCUCAUGUUCAUGUUUUAUUAUAGGUAGGUUUGCUUCAAUUUUAUAUUACAUUUCUCCAAUUUAUGUUUCAUUAAUUUAACAAUUUUUUUAGAGCAUCACAAAUUUAUUUUAUACUUAUAAAAUUAUAAUAAAAUAAGUAUCAACAGUAAAUAAACAAAUCGAUUUUGAAUUCAAAAUCUGACCCAUGAUUCUAGCUAUAAUGGGUAAAUGAGGAAUUUGUGGUAUCUUCCUAUCUUAAUUUAUACUAUUUUGGUUUAUAUUAGAUUGAUUUUUGUCUAUAUCAUUAUAUAUGGAGUCAAAUUAAUUCUAAGUAUUGGAGAAUUAAAAAUGUACCCAGGAUAAUUUAUUUCAACGUAUAAUAUUCAAAAGGGUAAACUACGCCAUUAGUCACUAAACUAUGAGUAAAUUUUUGUUUUGGUCACUGAAUUAUUCAAAAGUUAGUAUUUAAAUCAUUGGGUUUUUUUUUAAACGUCCCACCAGUGAUCUUGAACUCCAAGCGACUGUUUAGCGAUUGGUAUGAUGGAUCUAAUGGUCAAUGCUGGAGACCAAAGAAAAAAGUUUUUUGAAUUUUAAUUCGUACAUCCAUGACAUCCAAAGUUAUUUUGUGAAAGAAAUUGUACUAUAGAAGAGAAGGGGGAACAGAAAAUCAUACAGUAUCGAUUGUAACAGCUCAAACUUUUGAAUAAUUUAAUGAUUAAAUUUAAUUAUUUUAGUUAAGUGCCAAAACAAAAGCUUUCAUAUAUAGAAAAUAAAAUGAGAAGCGUUGGGAAGGAAGAGAAUGACGUUGUAUUUGUUUCAUUUCUGCAAGCAUUCAAAGACACGUCCCUUGUAACUUCAUUAUUUUUUCCCUCAUUUUCUUCAUGAACCUUACUUUUCCGAUAGGUGUGGUUAGAUUUAAUAACUUUGAAUGGAAAUAAAUAUUUAGGAGAUGAUUAUAGUGAAGGGCAACUUCAUUUAUUUCAAAAUAAACAUGUAUUAUUCGAAAGUAAAUAAGAGUAAUUAUAAUCUUUAUAUUAAUUUUAAAUAACAAAUAAAUAAAGCUGAAUAUAACAUUAACUAUGUACAUAGAUGUUAAAUGAAGAAUUUACAUUGUUGGUUAGUAUCAAAGUUUAAGUUUUAUUAUGCGUUUUCGAUGUGUGGAACUCCAAAUCCAAUAUAUAUGUUUUUCAUCGAUGAAUUUUGUUCGAUUCUUUCUAAUUCUUUAUCCACCAUGCUUUGUUUUAGUUUAAUUCUAUUUUAUAAUCGAUCAUACUUUAUUUGUAAUUGUAAUGAUUUGUAAUAGUAAAAAGUUAUAAAAAAACUAUUUAUUUAUAUUCAUAGAAGUUGGCAUGAUAAACAUUUGUAAAUACUAUCGAUUGAGUUUGAUCUCAAUUAGCAUUAUUGUUGUUGGAACAACAAAAAUGUAUGAGUUUAAGCAUUGUUAAAUGGGUAUUGCCUUCUUUGAAAGGUUAUAGAUGGUAAGAAUUGUAUAAAAAACUUGAUUCAUUUCUAAAAAUAAAAAAAUAUAUGGUAACAAAAAAACUAAUAUUCUCAAUAGUAUUUUUUUUUUAUAGAAAUUCUCAAUGUAGCAUGUAAAUUUUGAUGACAAAUAUUAUGAUUUUAAAAUGAAUGAGAAGUAUAUUAUAUGAUGCAAAAUAAGAGAAAUAAAAAAUAUUUCCUCAAGACCUAAUACAAUUGAAUUGACUAUCAGCUGAUAUGUGGUUUCGAGAUAUUUCUUUCUUUUUAAAUCAAUAUAUUUGCAAAAUAAAUAAAGAAUGGGAAACAUAGAUCACCAAGAUCUCGUUAAUUUGUCCCUUAUAACAUAUUAUAAGUUUAAUUGAAAUAUUUUGAGGGUUUUUUUUUAAUAGGAGAUUCAAAUCUUCUUUGAAAAAGAGAUGUAUAAACUAAUGUUGAUUAUAAAACAACUGCUAAAUUGUUAUUGUCGAAAUUAGCUCGAUAAGGGGUCCAUUGCUUUCUUUAUCUUGUAUUUUUCCCCCCCUUUAUGCAUAUAAUAGGGAAUAUGCUUUUCUUUCUCAAGCCACAACUUGUCACCAUAUGUUGAAAAGCAAGCUUUGUAAACCCUUCCAAACUCGACAGUAGUUCAAUUGUUCAGACGGUUUUUUCUAAGUAGCCUUCAAUUAUUUUAGGAUUUGGAUUUCAAAAUCUACAAAUUCUUCUCCUAUCUCUUAAGUUUAAAAGUAUUCGAACCAUACAAAACAAGACCAAAAACAGAAGGAAUUCUAACAACAUUAAACAUGACAUGAAUAUGGCAUAUGACAAAUUAAGUUAGAGAUUCUUACAAAUAGUCGUGGAAGCAACAAGGUUCUCUCCUAAAUAGAUUAGUUUAAUCAUGACUUGUAUCUCGUAAGCUUUCAAGUGUUUGUUAAUGGUGAUCAAACAAUGACUCAUUUAUCCUCAAAGAGAUCUUUUUUCUUCAUAUUUAUUUAUAUUGUGUCAUAACAUCAUAGACCUUGCAUUAACAAAGGCUAAACAUGAAUCUAUAGUGUAGUAGGAAAAAGUUUUUGAAAUAGUUAUUUAUGUGUCAAUGGAAGUGGUCACUUGUUCACUUCGGCUAUCAUUGUGCUAAGCAUAUAAUUUGUCUUAUUUGUUAGCAUGUUUGUUCAAAAUAUUUUUCUAUUUUACUUAAUUUUUUGAAGACUUUGUGCAGCCAAUUUCAUAUUUAUCAUUGGAAAAGAGAUUCAAUCAAGUAAGAUUGUUUUCUCAUAAGAUUACUAUCCGCAAUAAAUGUAUUUUCUCACAAGGAACAAGAGAUGGCUUAGGAAUUAAUUUAAUUUCUUUGGGUUUUUAUUUAGUUGGACGUAAUUAAAUAAUUGAGUCCAAAAUAAAAAUUAAAUAAAUUAGUCAUCACAAUUUUGCUGAGGUUUUAACAUGGUAAAGUCACUACAACUUUAAGAGAAUUAGAAUUGGAUUGAGAAGAUAAUUGAAUUAAUUAAUUGAUUGCUUUUAAUUAAUUAAAAAAAUAUUUUGGGUAAUUAAAAACUAGAUAUUGAGUUGGAUAAGUUAUAUGACCUUGUUUUAAAUUUGACUGCACAUAUGAUUAUAUCUAAUACAUAAAAAGCCCAAUAAACCAAUAUGUAAAAGGGGUGGGUGGCACACUAGGAAAAUCUCACUGUGUGUGUCGGCCACCAUAUGGAGUUUUAGUAGGACUCUAGGUUUUUAUUUUAUUAAAAUAUUAUUUUUUCUCUCUUCAUGUUCUAGUAUAACUCUUGUUAUUUAUAUAUAUGUGAAGAUUAUGGGGUAAUCGAAAAUAGACAACACUUAGACGAGGAUACUCUGCAAAAAAAAAAGAAGUAUUUAUUUAGGUUCAAAUAAAUUUUAUUUUUUAUGAGUACUCAAGAUACAAAUUUGCGAGAUUAUAAUUGCAACAUCCUUGGCAAUUAUAAUUCAUAUAUGUGGCUACGAAUUUUCAGUUUUAGUUGCCAUAGAGAAAGUUAACUUUCUCCACUUGAAAGUUACGAUUUUUAUUCUAUGUUUAAUCCUUGAUAAGAGGCUACUCCUUUAGCAUCCGAGAGUUCGAGAAUAGUGAAGAAGAUCAUUCAAUUGAAAGCCAAAAUGAUUUAGUUGUUAGAUCCAAAAUUCAACAGGAUCCCUAGCUCAUAAACACAUAUACUAAAUUUAGUGGGAUUUAUUACUGUAGAUAUCACAACCAAAGAUCCGGUUUUAUGAAAAAAUCUAAACUGACUAGGUUUCAUCAGCGAAAAUGUUUAUAAAAUUCUUUGAUAUCCUAUCUGAUUAAGAAUAUAAGCGGGAAAAAUAGUGAGAGAGGUAUGAAUUUCAAACUUGUUGUAAGGAGCUAUUUUUGUCUGCCUUCACUAUUGAUGUCAUUAUUCAUUGUCUCCCUUUGCUAUUUGAAGUUACAGAGAGUCAGUGAGACUAACGAAAUUUUGUUCCUAAGCAUACCCUUGCAUUGGGAUUUCACUUUUGGUGAUCAUGUAAUGUUGGACGUGUUGGAAAAAUCGGUUAAGAAAAACAAUUUUACAAUUAAAGCAAAAGAUCUAAAAUUUUAAAAAUUUAGUCACUUUGUGGUAUUUAUAGUAAUAAACCUUAACCGAAAGGUACCUCUGCUUUGUGUGAGACAGAUUUGAGUCGAUCUUAGCUUUCAACCAAAUGACCUUCUCCGCUAUCCUCGUAUCUCAAAUUGCGUUGAGUGUGGGCUUGAGCAACAUGAACCAAACACAAAAAAGAAACAAUGUAUUUACUUUUAGUAGGAAAACAAUUUCUCUCAAUAGAAGCCGACAAAUAUCGUAAUUCCCCCAAAAAAUAUAAUUUAUUCUUAAAUAAUAAAUUCCCACUAUUUUCUGGUAGAACAAUGAUGUAUCAAACUUAUGGUUUGAGGUCAACCAAUGUCAUCUAUUUAUAGGGAGAGGUACAAGAAUCGUAGUUGAACAAGCCAUUGUAAAAUAAUAUUAUUUAAACAGAAAACACUCUCCUAGUCUAACUAAGAGAAUAAAGUGGUACACCCUCUUAAUUUCUCUUAAGGUUGCCACCCCUCACAUGCAAUGUGAGGCAGAGUAGGUUUUUCAUGUAUUGGGAUCUAAUUAUAGGUGCUUCCUAGACUUUUAACCCAACACUUUAUAUUUUAAUCAAACCCAAUACCAAAAUUGAGUGCGAGAAACAUUGAUUGGACCUGUGGUGAAAGGUGUGUGUUCUAUACCAAGUAAAUCAAGGCAAACCGUGUAUAGGUUUAAGGCCACACGGGUGGGCCACACGACCAUAUACACCUAAAGAUUUUAAGGACUUUGUGAACCACACGGCCUCAUCCCGUUACACGACCUGUCACACGAUCGUGUCUCUACUAUAGGUUAAUUUAUCGAUUUUCACACGUCACAUAGUGUAACACCCCUAACCUAUAUUUGUCACCGGAACAAGGUUUAGGAGCAUUACUAGGGUUUACCGAUCAGACUCAAAUAUUUCAUAUUACUUCAUAUUCAUAUUAGAAAUUAGUCAUAAAUUUAUCAUAUCGUCCCUUAUAUGAGCCAUCGAGGCCCAAAACAUACAUUAGAAACAAGUUAGGACUAAAUCGAAAACUCAGAGAAUUUUUAGCAAAAUCUCAAAUUUUUUUCUAAGGUACAGGGGAUACACGGCCGUGUAGCCAAGCCGUAUGACUCACACGGUCAAUUGACACACCCGUUCUCAGGCCGUGUGGUGUUUGAAGUAGAGCACAAGGUCAUGUCCCCAACCCGUGUAACUCCCUAACUUGCAAUUCUUUUAGGUGCAAGAGUCACACGGCCAAGCCACACACCCGUGUGCUAGGCCGUGUGAUUAAUUUUGAGCAUUCUGUUUGACAUUUUAAGAUGCAGGGGACACAUAGUCAUGUCACACGCCCAUGUACACACACGACUGAGACACACACCCGUGUCUCUACCCGUGUGGACAAACCUAUUUCUCACUCAAUCUUGUCUUCCACCUAUAUUAACACUUAAACACAUCCCCAAUCUAAUACAAGAAAUUUAAACCAAGUCAAAACCAAGUCAUAUGCAUGAUAUUUUCAUCAUAUGUAUUCAUAUACUCAAUAUUACCAAAUUGAUCAAAUUUACAUAUAUGCAUAUUUUACCAAAUAUGCUAUCUUAAUUCAUUCAUCCAUGUGUUUACCAUUAUUUGACCAUUUCAAACAUACAUCAAGUAUAUUAAGACUAUUUACACAUCAAAACAUACCAUUUAAUAGCCAUUCCAAUGGCUAAUUUCAACCAACAUUACAUUACCACCAAUGGUAACAUUUAACCUAUACAUGUCAUUAUUACCAAAAUUAGUUUACUAUUUAUAUAUAUACCAAAAUUCUAAAGGAUAGUGUGAUGUAGCUCCGACCAGCUUCCAACCUUUACGAGCCUCCGAGUACUAUAAAAGAGAGGAAAUAAGACAGAGUAAGCACUUAAUGCUUAGUAAAUUCUUACAACGGGAAAUUAACUUACCAUUCAUUUACUUAUAUAAUAAACAUGCAUAAUACAUCCAAAGCAAUUUGGCAAUUAGCCUAACACAUAUAACCUCAACAAACAUGUUAGUCAUGUAUUUCAUGUGAAUAACAAGAACAAGGAUGAGCUCAUCAGGUAUCAAGUUUCGAAGUAUUUCAUGCAUAUAUAGAUAAUAGUUUUAUUUUGAUUUCACAUGUUCUCAUGUUAGAAUUUCACCCGUUGAAUCAUUUGAAAUCUCGAUGGAUACUUGGGUAGUACACCUGAAGUGUACAAUACUAUAAAUCCGUCAAUUCAUAUCUGAAAGUGCUUUUAUGAGCACUUAAACAGAAAGCUCUCUUUCAAGCACUAUAACGGAAAGCUCAUUGAGCCUUGUACAAGAAGCUUAUCCGAGUAAUACAAGGGAAAGCUCACAAAGAGCCCAUAAUAGGUAGCUCCAAAAAGCAAUUAACGGGUAGCUCCGAAGAGCACUUAACGGGAAACACCAGAUAGCCAUUUAACGGGAAGUUCAAGUGAGCAGUAACGAGAAGCUCCCAAAGAGCCUUUAAUAGGGAAGCUCACAAAAAGCCAUAUAACGGGACACUCAUAAGAGUUGCGGUGUGCCCACAACACAUGUAGGGUCACAACCGAUCAGGAUGCUUUGAAGAGCAUUUAAAGGGAAGCUCGCAAGAACACUAUAUAACGGGAAGCUUGAGAGGGCUUAUAACGGGACGCUCUUUAGAGCUACGGUAUGUCCGCAACAUAUGCAGGACAACUACUUUUACGGGAAACAGAAUCCUGUAUCCAAUCGAAUUUCAUUCAUUCAAACGAGAUUUAACAUUUAUCGGGUAUUUUCCGGAUAUAUGAUCAGAUUUCAUAUACAUGACCAAUACACAAUUCACAUACAAAUCAUUCAAAUCAAUUCGAACAUAUAAUUACAUAAUUAAGUUACAUGAACUUACCUCGACAAUGUUCGUGAGUUGUAAUCUACUAAUCCGUUAUUUUAUCUUGACCUCGAUCUAGCUCCGUAUUUUGUCUUUCUGGAUCUAUACGAUUAAAUUAACUCAAUUUGAUACAAUUUCGUACUCAUUUCAAUCCAAUUUACAUCUUAGGCAAAUGUACCAUUUUGCCUCUAUACUUUUGAUUAAUUCUAAUUCUGUCGCUAAGCUCGAAAAAUAAAAUUCAUGCAAUUUAAUCCUUAUUCCAAACCUAACCAAAAUUUUCAUAUAACAUUUACAGUCCAUGUAUUUCACAAAAUUUAGAAAUUUUUCAUGAAUUUUACAUAUUUUCAAUUUAGUCCUAAAAUCACAAUUUUAAUGAAAAUUUCCUUUACAAAAGUUCUUUAUCUAUCAAUAACCUUUCAUUUUCUACCAUAAAUUUCAAAAUUUUAGCAUACUCAUCCAUGGAAAAAAUUUUAUACUUUGAUAACUUUGCGAAUUGAUCUCCAAAAUAGAUAGAUUAGGUUAUUACGAUCUUGAGAAUUUAAAAAUUACUAAAAACGGGACAAGAAUUCAUACCUAAUUAAGCCAAAAUAACUUGCUUGAACUCACUUUCUCUUAACUAGGGUUUCCAUGUAUUUUAAUUUGGAGGAAGAUGAUGAAAUAAGAUGAUAUUAACUUAUUUUCAUCUUUAAUUAUUUUAAUUUCCAAUUUAAUCCUUUUCCUUUUCUAAUUUUCCAUAGAUGAAUCAUCAUAAAUAUCUACUAACUCCAUUUAAUGGUCUAAUUUUCAUAUAAGGACCUCAAAUUUUGAAUUCUAUAGCUAUUUAAUCCUUUUAGCUACUAGGACUCAACUUUUGCAUUUUAUGCAAUUCGAUCAUUUCUAUAAUUAAACAUGUAAUCAGUAAAAUUUUCUUAACUGAAUUUUCAUACGAUGUUCUUAUCAUAAUUCAAACCAUCAAAUAAUAUUAAAAAACUUCUUUUCAGACUCAGAUUUGUGGUCCCGAAACCACUGUUCUGAUUUCACUAAGAAUGGGUUGUUACAUAUAGUCGGGUUACACGACUAUGCAACCUUUGCACACGGCUUCAAGACUCUCACACAGCCUGGCCACAAGACCGUGUGACUCAUAUUAUAUAGUUUUUCCCAAAAUUUUGUGAAUUGUUCACUUUAGCCCCUGUAUAGUCCCCAAAAUGUUUUUAGAGAUUUUACUCACACAAUUGAGUCCAUGAUAUUAUGAAUUUGGUAGAAUCUGUGAUUUAAUGACUAAAUUGCUAUUGUUAUAAUGUAUGAUAUAUGAAUAUUACAUGUCUACUAUCACUAUAAUUUUGAUAAACUGAUAUUGUUAUUACUGCUAAUGUUGAACUGAAUACAUGUUAAGCAUGUCUACUGUUUUUGUAUUGUAUUGUCAUAUUGAAUUGCAUGGGGUAGGACGAUUGAAAGGAGGAAGUACUGGUAGUUUAAUAAUCUACAAAUACAGGUGGUUUAUCCACAACAUACUGACAAUUUAUCUAUAAACUUUUUAUUUGAAAAUGCUGGUGGCUCAUCCAUAAAAUGGAGUGUUGGGAUAAAUGAGUUCUGGGGAACUCCUACUGUGGAGUGUAGCGGAGUAUGAGUAGGAACUUUCCUAUUAUACUUGCAUUGCAUUAACAUUAAUAAGCAUGCUCAAAUGAACUGUAGAAUUCUGCUUUAUUAUACAAAUGUGAUUGUUCUAAGAACUGUUAUUAUGUAUGUUUUAUCUAUUAUUUUGCACUAAUUUUCUUGCGAUUGGAGACAGAUUGAGCUUUGUAAGCUCACCCCCCUUAAUUUUUUUAUUUAGAGAUAACUUACAAGGUUAUGGCGCGGACUUGGCAUAUAGAAGGCUUGGCUCGAUUUAUUUUAGCUAAAAGUAUUUUAGACAGAUUUUUCUUAAUUUAUGCUAUUUUUGAACUGUAUUACUUUAUUUUGGGUUUAUUUGGCAUGCAUGACGUUUUAAUCGAUUUAGAUUGUUGAAACAUAGAACUUGAUUUAAUUUUGCAUGAAAUUUGAUUUUCAUUAAAACUAGGUUCAAUAUCACUUUUCCGUUGCAUUACUAUGUGAAAAGUUUUUGAAAUAUAUAUAUAAAGUUUGGAAUUCAACUUUUACAAAAGCGGUCAUUAAAAAAAUAAACUGAUUUUUGAAAGAAUUUGUACCUUUUGGAAUCUCACUAAGUUAGUCUACUAAAGUAAGCAAAUGUUUUAAAAAGUCUGUUUAAUGAACUUUGAUCGGUUACUAGGCCAUUUCGGUGACCCAUGUAAUCUUUCGAAUUCGGCCGUAAUGUCUAAACCAGGUUUGGGAGGUUACACAACCCAAUUAAGUAAUUAACUAAAUUAAUUUUUCAAUCAAAUUAGUUUAUCAUUUGAUUAUUUAUGCAAUUCAUUUCUAGUUUCAACAAGUUAGAAGAUGGACUGAUUGGACAUAUAUAAUUAAGGCUCAAAUGAUUCAUAAUUAAGUUAUAAUUUUUUGUCUAUUAAUUAUGAACUUAUUUAGUCAUAAAGUCAUUCCACAAUAGUAUUAUGGUUGAGCUCUCCCUAAUUACGUACCAUUAUGAAAGUUACUUAAUAAGUGUCAUCUAAUGGCCUUGUCAUAAAUGUGUUACCCUCAUAAGAUAUUCUUAAUCCCUGUGGGAUAAAUUCGUUCUCCUAAUAUAUUUCUAUUUUAUCUCAUAGUAACCAUUAUAUAUUCCUUCAUGAAAAACCAAUUAUUAUCAGUUAGUAAUCAAGUCAUUUAUCACAAAGAUAAACAACUUGUGGUCACGUUUACUUUUCAUCUAUCAUGUAAUGUCGAUGAGAGGAUAUCAUUUACCUUUUAGUUGGGCUAUGAAUUCUACUAUCGCGAACGAUGCUAUAUACUGUAGAAGUUGUAUACCCAAUGUAUCAGCUUUUGAUUCCUUAUCUAUUUGAACUUAGGCUUUUAUUUACAUCAAAGUGUAUGAGCCACGCAUGCAUAGUUCAUUAUCCACUCAAGAUUAAGCUAUGCCAAACUAUGGACGUCACAAAUGAAUAAACCUAUAAACGGAUAUAGGAUCUAUUCUACUUGGUUUAUGUUCGAUACACUGUCAGUCUAAUUAGUCACAUCUAUGUCUCUGUCUUCUAGGAGUCAUUCACUCUGAUGCUCAAGAUAAAAUAUUUCCCCAAUUGAACUUGAUAAAUGACAUAUUAGUCUUUAAAUUAAUUUACUCAUUUCUGAUUAGACUAAGGGCAUGUUCAUAUUAUCUACUAGUACAAGUCAUCUUUCUGUAUUACGAUUCGACCAUGUAAUAUCGCUUAGUAUUAUUAGUUAAACAUUAGAUAAUCAAUGAGUCAAUAUUUGGUUCUAUUUUGUUUUGUAUGUAUAAACUGUUGAAAAUAAUAUGUGAAGAAUAUUAAUGUAAUUAAUGGAUAUUUUAUUAAAUCAAUUUGUUUGAAAACUACAAGUGUAUAAAAUAAAUGCACUACACUUAAGGCACUAGAUCCAACAAGACGACCCCUAUGUGGGCUUUUGUAACUUCAUGAAAAAGGCUUCAAAUAAGACUUUGAUGUAUGCGUUGGCUCCUUGAAGUUUUUUAAUUUCUACAUGCCUAUGGGUUUUCUUAAAUAAAGUUGAUAAUUUUUCAAUUUCUAUUGUAACUUCAUGACAAAGGCUUCAAGUAAGACUUUGAUGGUUGUGUGUUGGCUUCUUCAAGAUUUUCAAUUUCUACAUGCCUAUGGGCCUUUUUAAAUAAAGUUGAUAGUUUUUCUAGUUGGUCAUUUAUUAUAGCUUACUUAAAAUGUUCGGGUGCUACCCUCGCAGAAAACGACUGAAUCAUGCAUUUAUUUGUCAACCUCUAAAUCUUCACGGUCUUUUUGCUUAAUGGAAUCGAGGUAAGCUAGGCUUUACUACAACAUUUUAUUAGGGAGAAAUCUACUCAUGAACAAGUUCGCCAACUCACUGAAGGAGUGUAUGGAGUCAUUUGGUAAAGAUAAGUACCAAGCCCUUGCUUUAUCUUUCAGAGCCAUUGAGAAAGCACGACAUUUCACUACAUACGAAGCACCCAAUAUGUUCAUAUGAUUGUUGAAGUAUGUCAAAUAGCCGCGGGGGAUUCCUUGGUCAUUAUACAUUUGUUUGGGCAAUUUGAAGGUUAGAGACAUAUAUUCUCCUAAUAUUUUUAGAGCCAAUGACUCAUUAGAAAAGUCCCACUAGAACUUAGUAGAUCUACCUUUGUAAAAAGUUCGCAUUUAUUUCCUAAAGGCUUUAUCUUUGAGGAUGUUGCAUUUACAACUGAUAUGGGAGGUCAACCUCUGGAUUUCUAUUAGGUAUUGGGCUCCUCCUUCUAAUGGGGAAGUAUUGAGUUUUCUUCUCCUAUUGUACUUUAGGUUAGGGGCUAUGUUGCUGAGGGUUUUUGUUUGUUCUGAGUUCUUCUAUGAUUUUUUUCAUUUUUUUAAGGUUCAUGUUUUCUUGUUGUUGAUAAAUUUGUUGCUGCAUGGAAAUUUGUUCAUCAAGUACCCUUACUCUUUCUCAUAUCUCUAUGAAUUUUUGUGAGAUAAAGUUUGAAUUUUAUGAGGUUUUCUCACCAUUAGAGGGCAUUAGGUGUCCUUGAGGGGGUGGCAGUUAGGCUUUUUUGGUUUAGAUGCUAAGUGUAGUAUUUAACUGGGGGUAUUGUGUCAAACUUACAUGAUACGAGUAAUAAGGUUCGCAUGGGUUAUAUGGGUCGUAAUGACAACUUCAUGAUGACUAUUGUUAAGUAUAUUACUUGCUUAUAAUGGUUUGUGGUUGAGUUUGAGUUGUUUGGGUUGAAGCUGAGCUUGUGGGCACUCAUUCUUUUUCAUUAGCGGGAAUGCCUUGACCGGAAUGAAUCCUAUCUAUCUACUCUCAUCGCACCAUUUAUUAAUACAAGAAAGUGGAGUGAAGGUUAGCUGUAAGGUAGAGAUGGUAGAGUUGGAUAAAGAGGAAAGAGGAAGAAAGGGAGAAGAAGACAGAUGGUUUUGGUUGAAAAAAUUAAUAAGAAAAGAGAGAUCCAUUUGUUAAGAGGACUUCUAUGGUAUGUUUGGGAAAAAAAGCACAUACUAAAAUCUUUAACGUUUACCAAAAUUUCUAGCGUUAUUGGUAUAACGUUAGAAAUUUUGGUAAACGUAUCACACAGUAAAUUUUUUGCUUUAUCAAGUAGUAUGAAAGGUAUAUAGAUGGGUUGCCUCCCCCACCCAUGCCAUCUGGAAGUUCUUAAUAGGCCUAUCUAUAAUUCAUUGGGUUGCCUCCCCCACCCAUGCCAUUUGGAAGUUUUUAAUAGGCCUAUCUAUAAUUCAUUGGUCUCUUGUUAGGUUAGCAAUGUCAUGAUAAGGGACCAAGAUGCAGGGUAUGCCAGUGACAAGUGAUAAGUGUCUUAUGAGAGUGACUAGGUGUUAAGGGUAGUUGACUUACGUACUCCUAACAACCUUCUAAAAUAGUUCCCCUGGAAAACUAGGCUAGAUGAUAGAGGUGGUAAUCCAACAGAGUCAAGUGUUGCAAGUACCCAGACAAAUGUGUCUCUAAUAGCAAGGGUGACCUUAACAAGAUAUGUGUAACAAGAUUAAUAAAAAAAAUCUAGUUUAAAAUGUGCCAUAGGCCCUCUAGUCUUUAGAUUUCAAAACUCAAGUCCAAUUAUUAAUAGUUUUAAUUAUUUUUGUUAAAUUUGUUGGUAUACCAUUUUACAAUAAAAAAAUACAUAUUUGAUAGCCAUGUAACUAAAAAAUGUGUUGUAAUAAACAAAAAAUUAACAAUAUAAUUUUAAUAGAGUUAACAAUUGGACCUAAAAUUUAAAUUAUGAAAAAGUAGAGAAACUAAAUUAUUAGAAAAAAAGAAGUAUAGAAACUAAAUUGUAAUUUACAAAAAAGUAUAAAGACUUAUGAGAUAUUUUAACCAAAAAUCUAUUUCACGUUAAUUCGAUUGGAAUCAAACUAAAAGUUGAUUUAAAUCAAUCAAACAGUAGGACAUUUCAUUUACUUUCGUUGUUAAAACAAGUGUGGUUCAGAAAAACCGAUAGGAAGGUGUCAAGUGGCAGCUGCUGGGGCAGAGAGUAUCAAGUUUUCAAAAUUUCUUAAUGAUGGCAUACGUGGCAGUAUGGACCUUUGAUUUUAUGUGCCAAGAUAAUUCCAUAGAAGAGGCCAACUUUACACGUGUCUUCCAAUCAUUGGGUUCUUCUUUGAAAGGGAAUGUAUCUGUCCCUACUAUAUUAACAUAAAUAGAAUGGAUAUAUUCUUGAAAUAAUUACAAAAUAAUUAAAAAAUUAUACUACUAGAUAAGCAAUUCUAUUUUGCCCCAUAUGAUUAGAUACCUAAUUACUCACUAAAUCAUUGAUAUUUGUUUAUGUUUACAUCUACUUGGAUGAUUUAAUGCAAUUGACUACAAUUAAAAUUUUAUUUUCAAAACUGCAAUAAUAAAUUAUGUUGAUUUUUGUAUUACAGUCUCUUUACUCCUAUGCUCAUACUACCCAUUUUAAUUAUACUUUUAGGAAUAAUGAGCAAUUGUGUAAAGUAAAAAGUUGGUAGUUUUCCAUUUAAGUAAGAAAGAGUGCGUCUCAGACAAAAACUAGUUAAUUAUUAUUUUAAGUAAAACUAGUUGAAUUUAGAGUAUUCUUUUUGGUGAAUUAUAAGAGGAGGGCGAAACUUUAAUAAUACGUGCUUAGCGCGAUUCGAACCCAGGUGAUAAACACCCUAACGAGAUUCUCAAUUUAAAGGUUUUUUUUUUUUUUUUUUAGCUUCAAUUUUUUCUUUAAGUAAAUAUCACAUCGCUUGUGACAUUGAAUUUAAUUAAGAGUUUUUAUAAUAAUGGUGUAAUUAAAA